rnacentral:lncRNA from 1 species
AUAUGUACCUUUAGUAGUCUAUUAUCUCAUACGCUACCCUAACUACCAUAUGUACUUUUCUUCUGCCAUCUAAUCAACCCAUUGAUUCAGUCUUGGAAGGUGGUGCGUACCAAUGGCAUUUAUUAAGUCUUUGAUGAAGUGGUUUUCUUGCCUGACGAAGCCCUUCAAACUAUACUUACACCUCAGCAGCCGUUAAUAGCAAACCUAACCUGGUGGAUCCUUGCGCUUUAUGAAAGUACGUUGUACUGGCUUUCCUUCCCCUAGUUGUCAGUGAGACUUAUUUUCUUUAUUUUCAAGGCUUCUCAGACUCUUGUGGAUUCGUCUCUUUCUUCCCUCACUUGUGACCAGCUUCUCUUGUUGUUGUUCCUAGAAAAAAGUAGAAGUCAUGUGACAACCAGUGCUUUUUCUCAGCGCGUUCGUUGGAGUCGUGGAAGCGAAGCAAGGCUCGUUAUAGAGGAAAUAUGGAAUCCUCUAGAAAAAAAGUGGAACCCAUGCCCCUAUUCGCUUGAAAGAGCUUUGAUCACGACUGGUUGUAAACAAACCAUUGUCUUGCCUCUGCUUUCUAUCGAGCUCCGCUCUCCCCGCCCCAUUCAUGGCUUGCUGUUCCCCAAACUCUUUCUGGCAAAAUUUUUUCGAGAUUUUGAAACUUAUUGCACCUAACCUUUGGGCAUAUAAAAACAAGAAAAGGCACUACCUGCGGAAGAGAAAGGGAGAGGAAAAAUAGUACGCAUGUCAAUCUAUUCUACAUCAAUAUUGUUCAAGCGAAAAUUAAAAUGGGAUGUCUAAAUGAUGAAUUUCUAAAUAAAAAAGAAAUAGUGAGUGAGAAAGAAGAUGUGAGUCCAAAAGGCAACAAUCAAACGACCCUUUAUUAGGAAGGUUGCUUCCUUGUCACACAUGUCGUCUUUGGCUCGUCUCCUUCCGUGAUACGCACCUGGUAGUAGUAGCAGCCCGGCCGUAAAUCCAACUUCGAGAAGUAAAAGAAAAUCAAGACAGAUGCCCAGAGAAACUGUUAGACUUCUUUAUUGCGUUGCGAAGAGAGAUCUACCGUUUAUCCACCAAUCUGCCCUGCUCUUUAUGAGCUGAGUUAUUCCAUAUGAAAAAAAGGAAUCCAAUCGUCUACCUAAGUCACUUCUAGAUUCUUCUUUGAUUCGCGAGAACUCGCUCAGCCUAACCAAAGCGUCACAACAACAUCCAAAGGUUGACAAAGUCAAUGCUACUAAGGACCGGGGUGAGCGGAAUUUAGUAAAGGCUCCUCAUUUCACUUCAUCCACUGAUCAAUGUCCUCGCAGAUGGACUGAGCAUCAAACGCUUGGGGGAGGAGACUGAACAAGAAGCAAAAAUUCUAUUAAUUAGAUUCCACUAUCAAGAGAAGGAAUACCCGACAAAGUCCCAUAUCCUCGUCACUAGCCUUGGAGAGGAAUCAACUCAACCGAUCUCUCUCUGUCUUCAUCUCUCAAGGACCCUGACGGAACUACAUGAAAAGCUAAGCAAAGGCGAGUAACGUUUCCCUCCGCGGGGGCCGAUUCCUCCUCUCUCCUUUCCUUAAUAAUAAGGUAAGUUUUCAAGCCGCUUUACUUGCUUGAUAUUCUACUAGUAAAGCGCUAGAGCCCCCCUUGUAUAUGAUCUCUUCACAAAAAGUCACACCAAAGCCAUUAAAAUUGAAAAUGGCCAAAGUUUUUUUCAUGCAUUCAUAUUGUAAGCUUUGCCUAUAAAUAGAGAAGUAGAAUGCAUUUGUAAAGCCUCCUAAUUUGUGAGAAGUAGAGAGCAAUUGCAAGUGAGCUCUUUGAGAGAAUUUGAGAGAGCUUCCACUUCAGUGUUCUAGUGAGGUUUUUUGAAUUUUUGAAUUUUUUAAAUUUUUUUGGUUUUUUUUAAUAAACAAAGCACACACUAUUCCCACCCUCAAACUUAUUCGGAACAUUGUCCUCAAUGUUUCACAAACAAAAGAUAUGCAUGCAAAAAGAUGAGAAAAUAAAUAAAUAAUAAAAGAAAAAGUUAGAGAGAACACACCUAGAUGGGCUGGAAAAGCUUAAAAGAAAAUGAUAAAUAAAAAGAAAACGUUAGAAAAGAAAAAUACUAGAAAAGAAAAACAAACAAAGAAAAGAAAACAUACUAUUUAAAUAAAACAAGAAUGUAAAAAUGAAAUUAACUAAUCCUGAUAAACAAGAUCAUCUAAAAGUAUCUCCUCGACUUCUGGUGUUCUUAACUCUAAAAAUGGUUUUAAUCUUUGACCAUUGACCUUAAAUAAAUCACCAUUUUGAGGAUUUUCAAUCUCAAUUGCUCCAUAAGGAAAGACAGUACGAACUAUAAAAGGACCAGACCAUCGAGAACGUAACUUACCUGGAAAGAGAUGUAAUCGGGAAUUGUAUAAAAGUACUUUCUGGCCUGGUGUAAAGGAUUUUCUCAAAAUGUGCUUGUUAUGAAAUACUUUCAUUUGUUGCUUGUAAAUCUUGGCAUUCUUAUAUGCAUCAUUCUUGAUCUCUUCAAGUUCUGUUAGUUGUAAUAUUCUGUUGGAACCAGCCUGCUGCAUAUCAAAAUUGAAUUUCUUAAUAGCCCAAUAUGCACGAUGCUCUAACUCUAUUGGCAGAAGACACACUUUUCCAUACACAAGUUUGUAAGGCGACAUCCUAAUUGGUGUUUUGAAAGCAGUCCUAUAUGCCCAUAAUGCAUCAUCAAGUCUCAAAGACCAAUCCUUUCUAUCUAACCUAACUCUUUUUUUACAGAAUUUGCUUGAUUUCUCUAUUAGAAAUCUCUACUUGGCCACUGGUUUGAGGAUGGUAUGGGGUAGCAACCUUAUGUAUAAUGGAAUAUUUGUUCAAAAGAGUUUUGAAAGGUUUAUUGCAAAAAUGGGUACCGCCAUCACUAAUGAUUGCUCUAGGGAAACCAAAAUGAGAUAGAAUAUUACUUUUCAAGAAUUUCACUACAACUCUAUGAUCAUUGGUUUUGCAUGGAAUAACUUUAACCCACUUCGACACAUAGUCCAGUGCAACCAAUAUAUACUGAUAACCAAAAGAUUGAGGAAAAGGUCCCAUGAAAUCAAUAACCCAUACAUCGAAGAUCUCAACCACCAGAAUAUGAUUGAGUGGCAUCAUAUUCCUCUUUGAAAUGCUACCCAUGCGUUAGCACCUAUCACACAAAGAACAGAAAACAUAAGCGUCAUGAAAAAGAGUAGGCCAAUAAAAACCACACUGUAAAAUUUUUGUUGCUGUCUUUUUGGCACUAAAAUGACCUCCACAAGCUUGUUUGUGGCAAAAAGAGAUGACACUUUGAAUUUCAUUUUCUAGAACACAUCUCCUAAUAAUCUAAUCAGCACAAUAUUUGAAUAAAUAUGGAUCAUCCCAAAAGAAAUUCUUCACUUCGGAUAAGAACUUUGUUCUAUCUUGCUUAGUCCUGUGUGCUGGGAUUUGACUUGUGGCAAAGUAAUUAACUAUAUCAGCAAACCAUGGUACAACAUUCACACUCAUAAGUUGCUCAUCCGGAAAAGACUCAUUCAAAGGUAAAGAUUCUAGAAUAAAUUUAAGAUCAAGGCGAGACAAGUGAUCCGCCACAACAUUUUCAGAACCUUUUUUAUCUUUAAACUCAAUGUCAAAUUCCUGUAAAAGCAAUACCCAACGAAUCAAUCUUGCUUUAGCAUCUUUCUUAGUAAGCAAAUAUUUUUAAAGCAGCAUGAUUAGUAAAAAUAAUCACUUUACAACAUAUAAGAUAAGAUCUGAAUUUAUCAAGUGCAAAUACCAUAGCUAGCAUUUCUUUUUUUGUAGUUGAAUAGUUCAACUGUGCAUCAUUGAGUGUCAUACUAGCAUAAUAAAUCACAUAAGGCACACGAUCUAAUCUUUGUCCUAAAACUACUCCUACAACAUAAUUAGAUGCAUUACACAUAAUUUCAAAAGGCAAAUCCCAAUUAGGUGGCUGAAUGAUAGGUGAAGAAGUCAACAAUUCCUUAAGCUUUGCAAAAGCAUCAAGACAAGAUUCAUCAAAGAUAAAAGGUGCAUCCUUAACAAGUAAAUUGCAUAGGGGUCUAGAAAUUUUAUUAAAAUCUUUAAUGAAUCUUCUAUAAAAACCAGCAUGUCCAAGGAAAAAUCUUACUUUUUUUAUGGAUUUGGGAUGUGGAAGAUUAGAAAUUAAAUCCACCUUAGCUUUGUCGACUUCUAUACCUCUGCUGGAAAUUAUAUGACGAAGGCCAAUACCUUGUUUUAUCAUGAAGUUACACUUUUCCCAAUUUAGAACUAAGUUCUUUUCUUUACAUCUCUGCAAAACUAAUGUUAGAUGCUGCAAACAUUCAUCAAAAGAAUCUCCAUAAACAGAAAAAUCAUCCAUGAAUACUUCAAGAAAUCUCUCAGCCAUAUCAGAAAAAAUAUAAGCAUGCAUCUUUGAAAGGUAGCAGGUGCAUUGCAUAAACCAAAUAGCAUUUUCCUAUAUGCAAAAGUUCCAAAGGGACAAGUAAAAAUAGGUUUCUCUUGGUCCUCUAGAGCUAUAGGGAUGUGAUUAUAACCUAAAUAUCAGUCUAGAAAAUAAUAGAAAUCAUGACUUGUAAGUCUAUCAAGCAUUUGAUCAAUGAAUGAAAGAGGAAAAUGAUCUUUUCUUGUGACUGAAUUUAAUUUUCUAUAAUCAAUACAAACACGCCAACCUGUAGUUACUCUAGUAGGAAUUAAUUCAUUAUUAGCAUUAGCAACUGCCGUAACACCAGAUUUCUUAGGAACGACUAGCACAGGGCUAACCCAAGAGCUAUCUGAAAUAGGAUAAAUAAUUCCUGCAUCUAAUAAUUUAAUUACUUCAGCUCUUACCACUUGUUUCAUGUUAGGAUUUAGCCUACGUUGCAUCUCCCUAAUAGGUUUAGCAUUUUCUUCAAGAUGAAUACGAUGCAUGCAAUCUACUGGAUUAAUACCUUUAAUAUCAGCGAUGGUCCAACCUAUUGCCUCCUUAUGCUCUUUUAAAAUACCCAACAACUUACAUUUUAGCUCAAGAUCGAGGGAGGAAGAAAUAAUAACAAGUAGAGUGUCAGAUUCUCCCAAGAAUGCAUAUUCUAGAGUGUCGGGUAGUGCUUUGAGUUCCAAUUUUGGUGGUGUCUCUGCAGAUGAGCUAAUCUUCUUCUCAAAAUGAGUCAGUGGUUCUGCCUUUGUCUUCCAUUUAGUUGUGUCCAUAAUUAGAGGUGCAUCAAGUAAGGCGUUGACUUCUGCAAUUACACUGUCAUUAUUAAAAGAUACAUCAGAAUGAGUUAGACAUGCCUCUAAUGGAUCAUCAGUAUAGUUAGAAAUGAAUGAAUCUUCUACUAAUUCCUCUAUCAUAUUUGCUUCGAUAAAUUCAUCUUCUUCAUGUGGCUGCUUGGUAACAUUAAAAGUAUUUAAUUCCAUGGUCAUAUUACCAAAAGAUAGCUGCAUGUUUCCAUUCCUGCAAUUAAUAAGAGCAUCAGCUGUAGCUAAGAAAGGACGACCUAGAAUAACUGGGGUGUGUUUCUUAGGAUCCUGUACAUGCUGAGUAUCAAUAACAAUAAAAUCAACAUGAUAAUAAAAAUUAUCAAUCUGUAUCAACACAUCCUCUAUAAUACCACAAGGUAUUUUCAUUGACCUAUCAGCAAGUUGCAAAAUAAUAGAAGUUGAUUUUAACUCACUUAGUCUAAGCUGCAUGUAAACAUAAUAAGGCAAGAGAUUAACACUAGCACCCAAGUCCAAUAAUGUUUUAUCAAACAAUUAGUUCCCUAUAACACAUGAGAUAGUAAGGGAACUUGGAUCCUUAAAUUUUGGUGGCAUUUUACAUUGAAGUAAAUUGCUAGUUAGUUCAGUUAAAAAUGCUUUUUUGGUGACAUGCAAAUUUCUCUUUUUAGUGCAUAAAUCUUUCAAAAACUUGGCAUAGGAAGGAACUUGCUUAAUAGCAUCGAGUAAAGGGAUGUUUAGGAAGGAACUUGCUUAAUAGCAUCGAGUAAAGGGAUGUUUAUACUUACCUGCUUGAAGAUUUCCAUAAUCUCACCUGUUGAAGUCCUUUUCUUUACCUUUGUUAACCUUUGAGAAAAAUGAGCCUUGGGAAUGUAAGCUUGUGGGCCACUCCCUUCUAGAUCAUUUGGUGAUGAGUCUUGUGAUGGAACUGGAUCUGAAGAAGUAAGCUCAGAUGUCUUCCUUAUUUGAACCUCCACUUUGUUAUCAAACAAUUUUCCUCUUCUCAAGGUCAUAAUAGAUUUUGCUUCUUCAUGCUGAUGGCUUAAACUCGAUCCAACUUCAUGCACUCUUUUAGGAUUAGGAACUGGUUGACUUAGGAAUUUUCCUUUUUCUCUCUCAGCCACAAUAGUUGCUAAUUGACCCAAUUGAUGUUCAAGCUUUAGAAUAGCUUGAGUGUUUGACUGAAAAGCUUGUUGGGUUGACUGAAUGAAACUUUAAAGUGUAUCUUCUAAAGAAGGUUUUCUUUUUUGGGGUGCAAUAAAUCGAAACAUAAGCUGUUGGGUAGGAGGAUAUACUUGGUUAGGAGGGAUAAAUUGUUGAUUGGGCAAGCUAAAUUGUUGUCCUCCUUGGUUUGACAAAGGUUGAUUUUGUUUCCAAGAAAAAUUAGGAUGAUUCCUCCAAUUAGGAUUAUAUGUGGGUGAAUAUGGAUUAUUAGAGGUUUUCUCAUAUUAUUGUAAGGCAUGUACCUGCUCAGAAUAAGCCUCUUGAUAGGCUAGUAAUGAUGGACAAUUCUGUGCAGUAUGAGACAAGUUAGAACAAAGAGCACAAACCUCAUUAGCUACACUAGGAUGAUGAUUCAUUGAUUGGUUCAGAGGUAAGGCAUCUACUUUCCUAGAAAGAGUAGAUAGAGUGGCUUUCACAUCAAAAUCAUCUUCAACUUCAUAUAGACCCUUUCUAGAAACUUGAGGCGAUUUCUCUAUUUGAUGUGAAAAAUUCCACUGUUGAGAAUUCUCAGAAAGUGAAUUAAAGAAAUCCCAUGCAGCCCUUUCAUGUAGGUUAAAAAAUCUCCCACCAUUCAUAGACUCUACCAUAUGAUGAUUUGACAUGGUUAAACCGUUAUAAAAGCAUUGUAUAAGUCUCCAUUUCUCAAAACCAUGGUGGGGACACUUGAGGAGUAAAUCAUUAAAUCUUUCCCAACACUCAUAAAAUUGCUCACCCUCUCUUUGAUAAAUAUCAUUUAUCUCUCUCCUAAGGGCAUUUUUUUUAGACAUAGGAUAAAACUUGGUGAGGAACUUGUUGCUUAAUUCAUCCCACGUAGUAAUAGACCCAGCAGGAAGUGAAUUCAACCAAGCUUUCGCUUUGUCUUUUAAUGAGAAAGGGAACAUACGAAGUCUAAUUGACUCAUCAUUAAAAUUUUGAAAACGGAAUGUAGAGCAUAUGUCAAGAAAUUCCUUAAUGUACAAAUAUGGAUCCUCUCUCUCUAACCCAUGGAAAGAUGGUAAAAGUUGAAUGACAGAGGGCUUAAGUUCAAAGUGUGUUGCUGUAGUUUGUGGCAACACAAUACAAGAUGGUUGGUUGGCUGCAAGUGGUGAAAAAUAUUCUCUAAAGGUUUUCUCUGCUUGCACUGAUGGAAGUAUUGGCAAUAGUCUAUUAGGGUCAUCUAUCACUUCUGAAGAACUAUCUCGACUACUAUCAAUUUUUAACUCUUUUUUUUACCAAACGAUAUGUUAAAUCGCGUUCCCAAAUACUCAUAAACUAACUAGAUAAGGAAAGAAAAAAUAAAAUACAAUAAAAUAAAAUAAACCAACAAUAAUGAAAAUAAACGAAAUUUAAAAAUAAAAGAAAUCAAACAACCAAACAAUGAAUUUAAAGACAAAUAAAAAUAAAAAUAAAAAUUAAUAAAAAAUUAAAUUAAUUAAAUAAAAGACAACCUAAAUUAUAACUAGUGGAAGAAUCAAAUCAACCUAAAUUAAACUGACUUUCUGGCACAAUCCCCAGCAACAGUGCCAAAAACUUGUUGUGAAAAAUUUUAAUAUACUCGCAAGCGCACGAAUCUAGAAAUAAAAUAGUGGUAACGAGGUCGAACCCACAUGGAUUGUUAUAAAUUAAAAAGUCUAAUUUAAAUCUAAAAUUAAUAUUAAUUCUAACCUAAUUGAGCAAAUUGAAUUUUUAAGAGAAAUUAAACUAAUUAAACUAAGAAAACAAUUAAAGCAAAUGAGAAAUCAAUAAGACAAAAAUUACCAAGGUUUCAGAAUCCACCACUAUUCAAUUAAUAAUUAUCUAAUUAUUAAUUAAUCCCAAAUUUUAGAGUGACAACUCGAAAUCAAUCUAUGUCAUCUCAUAAAUAUAACAAUUAAGCCCAAUUAAAAUUAAUCUUGUGUAGGUUCUUUUUCUUCUUAAUAGUAUGAUAUCUGGAGAUGGCCAAUGGGCCGGGCGGCACGUGGCACGGCACGGGCACGACACGUGUCCGUACGACAUGGCAUGACACGAGCACGUUUCGGUGGGGCACGAGGCACGACACAGUACGCAUGUGGGCCGUGCCGGGCCUAGAAUUUUAGGCACACGGGCCUUAAAGCACAGCACGAUUAGAGAUGAGCCAAAGCACGACACGCGAAAAAGCAUAUAAUAAGCACGGUUCAUUAGUGGGCUAGCACGUGGCCUGUGGGCCAUCAAUAGCACGUGGGCCAAAAUAUAUCUAAGUAAAUUUUUUUAACAAAAAGUAAAUAUAAAAUGUUAUGAAAUUAAAGUAAAAUAUCUUGAAAUUAAAUGUUUUAAUAUAUUUUUUAGCAUAGACUUUUAAAAAUUAAUUUAAAUCAUUAAAUCUUAGUUUAAAUAAAUAUUCUAAUUUUUUAUGUUUAUAAUUUAUUAAAUGAAUAAGUAAAUAUCAUGAUUUUAAUAAAUAAAAUUAUAAAUAUCAUAAUUUUAUUUAUGAUAUUUAUUAAAUGAAUAAUGUUAUUUAUGAUAUUUAAUUUUAUUUAUGAUAUUUAUUUAAUUAUUUAUUUAUGUUUAUAAUUUAUUAAAUGAAUAAGUAAAUAAGUAAAUAUCAUGAUUUUAAUAAAUAAAAUUAUAAAUGUCAUAAAUUUAUAAAUGAUAAAUAAAAAUUAAAAAUUUUAACAACAUUAAUAAUAAAAUAUUUUUCAUAUGAAAUAUUUUUCAUAUUAAUAUUAAAUCAUAACUUAGUUAAUAUUUAAUAGAGAUAUGUUUCAUUUGUGAAUGAAAUAUUUUUCAUAUUUAUACACAAGAAAAAUUUAUGAACGAAAUAUUUUUAUGAUAAAUUAAAAAAUACAUUUUCAUUAAAUGAAGUUCAAGUACAAUUAUAAUAUUAGUAAUUCAAACAAAAUUAGGUGUAAUUUGCAUCACUACAGUUAACAGUACAUCCCAGCUAGGUUGGCACCUACUGAACCAUCUAUCAUUUGCAAAUUUACAACCUUCUCACUAAUAAAAUUUGUUUCAAAAAGUUACAAGAAAAAAAAGUCUCUAGUCUUUGGAAGUGGCUUCAAUGUUCAGUACUCUGCAUAAUCUGGAUUCACUUCAUCUUGAUCAACAUCCAAACUCUCAAUUUGUUUAAUUAAAGCAUUUUGCCAAUCUUGUUGCACUCGACGUUCAGCAUCUUCUCAAUCUUUCAAACAUAACAAAUAGUCUAAUGUCUCUGAUGACAAUCGUGACCGACGUUCAUCUAGAAUUCUUCCACCUGUACUAAAAGCUGAUUCUGAUGCUACAGUUGAAGCUGGAGGGGUUAGUAGAUCACGGGCCAUAAUGGAUAAUAUAGGGAAAAAAGAUGUCUUACCCAUCCAAAAUUCUAAAAUAUCAAAAUUUUGCAAUUGUGAAGGAGUUGCUAAAUCUUCAAGAUUGACAGAACAAUAUCUUUGCAAUUCAUUACGAUUAGUAUCAAUACUAGAGGCAACACCCUUACCUUUGAGUAACAAGAGGUGAGCUGGAUUUUUAUAAAAAGUCGAUGCUUGUUGAACAUUAGAAUAUGUAUUGCUUGAUUCGAAUUUAUUUCGAUAAAAAUUAAAAAGUUCAUGAAUAGAGGACAUAAUUCUAUCAAGCUCGGUUUGUAAAUUUUCACUAAUACUCUCAACUAAAGGUUUUGCACCAACUUCCUUGAUUGUAGGAUCCAACACUGUUGCAAAAAUAAAUAGGUGGGGAAUAUCUUUCCAAUAUUUUUGGAAUUUUUCCUCCAUGGCAUCACAAAUAUUUUUAAACAUAAUAUUCUCUCUAAAAGUCUUAAAAGUAUAACUCAUAUUAUACAAGUGCAUUAACACUCUACAUGAAGUAGGCUCAUAAACAGUAGAACAUGCAAGAGUAGCAUCAUAAGAUACCUUUAAAAAAUCCAUAAAUUUAAAUGCAACAUUCCAAUCAUAAUCAGUGAUAUGAUAAUCUUCAUAAUUCAUUCUCUCAUUGUAAAAACUAGAAAUUGCUUCAGAAUAGUUUUGGCAAGAAAGCAACAUCAAAUACGUAGAAUUCCAAUGAACUUUCAUGUCAAUGUUGAAUUUUAUCCUUUUCAAUCCAAAAAUUUUCAACGUAGACAAAAAUUGUUGACGUCUUGAAGGUGCUCUAAUAAAUAAAAUGGCUGCUCUAAUUUUUUCUAAAUAAUGAUUUAUAUGAGUCAUACCAGCUUGAACAAUUAAAUUAAUAAUAUGACACACAUCUCACAUGAAAAAAUUUUGAACCACGUGCAGGCGUGAGAGUAGAAAUAUUCCGCAAAAACAUAUCAAUUGCAACUAUAUUGGCAGAUGCAUUAUCAAAUGAUAUGCUAAACAAUUUAUCAGUAAUUUCAUAUUCUCUUAAAACAGACAUUAUAGCUGCAUAAAUUACUGAACCAGUGUGAGGAUAUUCUAAUUCAUGAAAUGCAAGCAAUUUUUUUUUCCAACCUCCAUUUACCAUUAAUCUCAUGUAUAGAGUACGAAGUCACACAAAAUAACCAACCAUAUUAAUACCAGUCCAACAAUCAGAAGAAAUUGAAAUAACACCAUUAAAAUUGAUAAAAGUAUUAAUUAAAAGUUUGUUCAUGUCAUAAAAAAUUUUAGUUAAAUCACGUUUUAAUGUAUUUCUAGGCACUUUCUUAAGUUGAGGCUGAACAUACCUUUGCAGAAAAUUUAUUAGACGUUCAUCUUCUGAAAAUGUUAAAGGUUGUUCUGCUGCAGCAAUAUACCGAGCCAAUCCUUCUCGCAUGUUCUGUUGUGAAUAUCUGAAUGAUGUUAUACCGGAAGGUCCAGAACCAUAUUGUGAGAGUUGGGUUUGUGUUGGGUCUUGUGGCGCGUGUUUUGUCUGACAAGUUUCCAUAUGUCAUCUAAGAGGUCCAGUUCCACCAUUGCCUUUGGCACUUAAAGCGGAUUGACAAUAUUUGCACACUGCUUGAUCCACCAUUUCACCUUUUUUGUUUUGACGUUUUUCCAAAGUAAAACAUGACCAAACAAUCGAUGUUCUUUGUCGUUUGGAGGUAGUAGUAGGAUUGGCAGUCGAAGAAGUAGAACCACUUUGACUUGCUUGAGAAGUAGGAGGUGAUCGUUCCGGUGGGACAAUAAAUAUAUUACUUGGAUCAAAUUCUGGUGCAACAAUUUCUUCAUUUGCAACUUCCUCCCCCUCUUCAACAAAAUUAAAAUUCUCAUCUAACUCAAAAUGAGAGUGAGACAUUUUAUAUAAUUAGCGUUUUGGUAAAUAAAGGCGGUUGGAAUGUAUUUGUGCGGGUGAAAAAAAAGAAAAAAAUUAUUGAGCAAGAGAAUGGAGAUUCGUGUGUUAAAUGGUGUUGAAUGAUGUUUUGCUUUUGUUUGAGAUUUCAGUAACAAAGGGAAAUUGUUGGAAUUGUAGCAAAGUUUCGAGAAGAUUGGGCAAGCAGAGACUAGAGAUGACUGAUGAGACAAGAGAGAUAACGAAGAGAUAGAGAUUGAGAAGUGAGAUAAGUUCGAAAAUAAUUUAAUCGUUUAAAUAGAAUAAAAAAGUAAAAAUAUUAACAGUCAAAAAGGGGCAAACACGCAAAGCUUCCUGCAAGGUUGCAACUGCAAAGCUUCCUACAACUCUGCAAGGUUGCAGCAAAUUAAACUGUUGCAUUUAAUAAUUCAUUUGUCCGUUGGAAUUGUAAGGUGAGUAAUUGAUUUAAUUUAAAUUUUUUUUUGUUAUUAAAAAUCAGAAAUAGUUAAUUGUUGAGGGACCUGUCUAUGGUACCGAUUCUGUAACAAACAUCUCCCGUCAUCCCACCAUCCGAUUGUCUAUUGUUUAGUUUCUCACUCCACAUCCAACCACAUCCAACGGCUGAUGCUGCAGUUUGUGGCUCACAGAUUCUGUAAGCUAGUCAAGUCCAAUUGUUGAGUGCCCAUGUUGUGAAAUUGACUAGUCACCUAGUCAUAUCAACUUUAUUGUUUUUUUUAAAGACAUAUCAACUUUAUUGUUAAUUUAAUUAAUUCAGAAUUUUUUUUUGUCCUUUGGGUGAGUAAUGAAAUUAAUUUAGAAUUUUUUUGUCAUUAAAAAUCAGAAAACAUUAAUUACUAAUCGGAGCCCAACUGCCCAUGCUGUACAAUUGAGUAGUCAUAUCAAUUUUAUUGUUAAUUCAAAAAAACUUUUCCGUUGGGUGAGUAAUAAAAUUAAUUUAGAAUUUUUUCGUUAUUUAAUAAUUAAAAAAAUUUAAUUUCUAAGUGCAACAUUGUUAUUUAUUUUUUAAAAUAAUUUUAGUAAUUAAUUUUUUUUUCAAAACAACGUAUUAAAUUAAAAAAAAAUUAUGGUUCAUUGUUACAAGAGAAUCACGCAACUAUCACAAUGUUAAUAAAUUCUAUCACAAGUGUGUUGAUGAGAUAAUAUUAUAGUAGGAAUACGGGAGGAGCUUGCAUUCAUUAUGUAGAGUAUUUUAUUUUUUUGAAUUUAAAUUCUCAACUCAAAUUUUCAACACGGUAGUUGUCAUAUAGUGCACAUGCAGACGUGCAGAUUGCAGUGCAGCUGUGCAGUCAAUUCAAGUUUCAGGAUUUGAAAAUUGUGAAAGUUGCAACUUGCAAGCGUGUUGUAAAAUUGAGUAGUUAUGUCAAUUUUAUUAUUGCGUGACUGUAAAAUUUUAAAAUUAUGUGCAGUGUAAUCAAUUAAAAAUUUGAAAAAUUAUGAAAGUUAACCGACAAUGAUGUUUAAAUAAUAAAAAAUUGGGAUAAUUGUGCAUUUGUUUUAAUAUUUUCAUUUAUUUUUUAAAUAAUUUAAGAUCUUUUUCCUACAUGCCAACCACGCACUUGCCUCAUGGCUCCACAAAAAUUAAGAUCUCAAGAUUCAUUCAUUCACAAAUAUUUAUAUUUCACUAAAUAUUUUUUACUUACUCUUUUUACUCCCACCGACAAAGUAAAUAAAAUUAAUUUUUAUCUUUUUAUUACUAUCUAAUAUUAUAUAUACACGCCAUUAUGCUAUGAUGCUUCACAAUUCUUAUUCUUCUUCUUUUUCCUCUCAAACUUUCCAAUAUUUUAAAAGCCAAAAUCAUUAUGAAUCUGCAGCAACAUAAUAUGAAUGCAGAAGAACCUCAACACUCUCAAGAAUAAAAUGUUGAUGUAGUUGGACCUCAACAAAACGCUAGGCUAAAUCAGUCCAGAAGUCAUUCUUUAAAUGAGCUUUUUCAAAAUUUUGCUACAAUAAGGGAGGAAAUAAUAGAUAAUAGUUUGCAUCGUCCAUACAAACGGAUGAUCUUGAGGUGCAACUAUUGUCAUCGAGAAGUUAUUUAUUCAGACAGCCAUGGCACCUUGGGUUUACGUCGACACGUGUCAAAUUGUUUAGUUCGCCAUCUUAGCCAAGAUAGAAUUAACCUUGCUCAUUUCCCGUAUCCAUAGUUGUGAUUAAUAAAUGUUUUUUUCAUGCUUGUUAUUCGUCAAUUGGUCGUAGUUCGCAUUUCGUAGUUGUAACUUGUAAGUUGUGACCUAUGAUUUGUUAUAUUGAUAUUUCGUAGUUAUGACUUAUUGUAAUUAUUAUUCGAGGAUUGUAUUUUUAAUUUUAAUUAAUUAUUAUUAUUAUUAUCUAUGGAAUUAAAUUUAUGUAUUGUUGUGUUAUGAUUGAUUAUUGUGAAAUAAAAUAUAUAGUUGUGAAUUUGUGAUAAACUAAUAAUAAAAUGUUAAUUGCCUCUUAAUAAAAAUUAAUAUGAUUAUGAUUAUGAUUAUGAUUAUUAUUAUUAUUAUUAUGUUGGUGGGCUUAAAAAAACACGCCAAGUACGUGGGUUUUUUUAGGCACGUUAAAAAAAAAGUUGGUAGACUUUUUUUGGGCACGGCCCACGGCACGAUACGAGCCCGCUCGUGCCGUGGGCCGUACUGGGCUCAACUGAAAAAAAUAUGGGCACAGCCUUGCCGGCCCACGAGCCCUUGUGGGCCGACAGUUGCCGGCACGGCCCAUUGAACAUAUAUAGGGAAUUAAUUAAAUGAAAAAAAUAAUUAUUUCAUUGAAUAGGGUUUCAUCCUUAACCUCAACAUAAGAAAAUUAGCUGGAUAUACUUGAAUUAGGAGCAACAAAAGAAAUAAAAUCAGCCAUGGGAAGCCGAACUGCUGCAGCCGGUUUUCUCCCGAAUCGCGUCUGCUUUUUUUUUCCUUCCUAUGGCGACUACUUUCAGUGUUCUCUUCUUUUUUCCUGGCGGCUACCCCCUAAUUCGUUUUAUACUAUAACGCCACCACAAAAUCCUCAAAUCAAAAUGAUUUUAAAACAAGCCAAGCACAACCAACUUUAAGCCCAUGCAUGUGAAACCCACUUGAAAUCAAUGGUCAAUGCUUUUCCAACUAUUCACGUGAGAUGCACACUUAGAAACUCAAUUAUUCUCCUUUAAGCAUCCUUUUUCCUCUUUUCUUUUAUUCUGCACAAGCGGCAAUUAUUUCCAUAAACUCUAAUUUGUUUCCUUUUUAAGCUCCCUUUCAUCAAUGGCUUCCACAAAUUGAUUUGAUCUUUAUUGCUGUCCAAUUAUUAUUCCUUAUGCACUUUUCAUCCAUAAUCUCCAAUUAAUUCCCUAGUCAAUAAAAAAAUUCAAUUAAUUAAAAAUAACAAAUAAAAAUAACUAGCAAUUAUGUAAUUAAGGAUAAAAUAUGUAUAUAUUAUAUGCUCAUCAUUCCAUUUGGGUGUAUUGGGGUUGUGGGUUUUGUGAGUUUUUCCUACUUUUGUAAAUUCUUAUUAUUAGUAAAAUUAUCUUUCAGUCUUUGCCCGUGGACGUAGGCAUUACGCCGAACCACGUAAAUUAUUGUGUUCUAUUUUCUUUGCAUUUGUUUGUCACAUUUAUAUUUCUCCAAAAGUUACAGUCAUCGUAAUAUUGGUAAUUGUUCAACCUCGCAAUUCUGCAACACCAUCCUUACACUAUUAACGAAGAGAGAGAGAGAGAGAGAGAGUAAAGCAUCCCAAAAUGUAGAGAGCUUAAGAUUUAACUCUUUGAUAGAGAGUGUAGAGAAACGGAGUACUAACAAGUGAGUUCUUAAAAAGUUUGGGGAGUGUUCUCUUGAGUGUUCAGUUGAGAUCUAUAUUAUUUGUAGGGAUGCGAGAGAUUGUUUCCUUCGGUAGAUUGUUUCCUUCAAGAGCGUUGAGAGUACUAAAUGUAUUUAAGUAUUUGGAAAAUAAGGUUUAAUUACUCAAAUUUAUACUCUAUUAAUUGUUAAUAAAAUAAUUAUUCUCUCUUUGCCUCCUUGGAUGUUGGUAUCGUUGCCAAAUCAGGUUAAAGACAAGUGUCUUUAUCUUUUUUAAAUUAUCUAGUGCCUAUUGAUUGCACAUCUGCGCAUAAGUGGCAUUGAACUGCAACAAAUGACACUUUUGCACACAACACCACAUUGGAUACGUCACCGAGCAAGUUACCAGCAACUCGCAUCUUAUGAACCUAAUUUACAUGUGAAUAUAAAUGAGCGUGGCAUUGGCAUGUUACUAAAGAUAUUGUACAUAAAUCUACUAUUCUUAAUACCAACUAAAUAUUGGCCGUGUAUCAUUGUGGACAAAACCUUUAGGCAACAGCGAAGUCAGAUAACAGCGAAGUUAGAUAUUCAAUAUAGUUGGAGUUAUGUUCAAACAACAAUAUGAUUUAAAAAAUUUUAGUAAGUACUGAAAUUCUAAAUUGACUUCACUGAAAUAAUAUAAUUCAAUAAAUUCAUAAUCGUACUCAAUUAGCCAUAUACUUAUGGUAGCUCGAAGUUGUACAUGCUCUAAAACAUAGCGGCUACCUAAAACAAGUGUAUAAAAUUUUCGUUAUGAAAGAGACUCUAGGGUGCUGAUUUUUAUCAUCAACAAAUCCAAAAGAAAAUGGCUAUUUGCCCUUUUUGGCCAAACAAUAGAGAAAAUUUUGUAAACAGUCAAAUAAUAUUCUGUCAUAUGAGAGAGUAGAGGGUUAUAUUAAAUUAAAAAAUCAAUGGGACUCACUAAUGCUCCUAUCUUUGAACUCACUAUUCUACCACAGAACACCAAUAAAUUGUCUCAAUUAAAAUUUUCUCCACACAAUGACAGAGCAGAGAACCCCACUAAAUUAAAAUAGUUAGUAGGACCCACUAAUGGUGCCACUUUUGAACCACUGCUUUACUACAUGGCAAAACACUAGUGGUCUGUCUUACCUAAUUUUUUCUCCACAUUUAUACACUAAUAGGAAAAAUGACUCACUAAUGUUAAAAAAAAUGAUUUGGAUCUAGCGCAAAACUGAGCUAUUCUCACCUCUUCAUAAUUGUUUUUAUACACGUGCAUGUAUAGAAUAUAUGGUUAGGAUUUAAGUAAUUUUAUAUUGUUAUCCAAAAACUACCAAAUCCGCUAAAAAAACGAAGAAAAACUGUGAUUGAAAACAUAAAGAGAUAGAGGAAUUAUUACCUAAUAGGAUUCAUAUCUUCUCAUAUUCUGGUAUCCAAUGUUUUAAAAAUCUAUAUGUGACAAUCAUCAAAAUGUAUGGUGAGGAUUUAUUACAAGCCUCUUAAGAGAUGAACUAAUAAAAAACUCGCACUUCAUGAUUCCAUGGCUCCUAGUGUUUUUUUUCCCUCUCCAUCAAUAACUCAUCUUCUCCUCAACGAUUAAUCACUGCACACAAAAAAAGGAAAGAAAAAAUGAAGAAGGAAAGAGCAGGCAGCCAGUGCAAGAAGAAAAAUUAAAGAAGAAGAGCCUACGUUUGAGCGUGUACUUUAACAAGUACAAUUAUCCAAAGAGUUUAUUUUAAUUAAACCUAUUAAGGAAUAAAAGUCUCCUCUAUAGCAAUUUUAUUUUCAGAUGGCAGAUCGAAGGUCCAACUUUAGGAUGAUACAAACACCCAAGAACUAAUUUUAGCUGAGAGUAGCAGAUUAGUCGUGCAUGAAGAGAAUUCUUAUGAUGUUGAAUCAAAUAUUGGCCAAGUAAUUAUUCACAUUCAAGAACCUAAUCAAACUACGACUUCCUACCUUCAUAACUUCGGCAUUAUUUUUCUUUUGUUUUUAGAAAUUGCAAAGACUUGAUUUUGAUAGAGAUCAUAGCUGAUCAAAAGUGUUGUGCUCUGUAGAGUGAACUAGAGAACGUAAGAUUUUUGAGAGUUAGGGAAGAAAAAUAAGAGUUUAAGAGUUGUUAAUAAAAUUCAAAUAAACAAAUCUUAGCCAUUCAUUUUGUUAAUAGCCACGUAUGAAGUAAAUCUUCAAAAAGUCAGAAAUUUCAUAUCAUCAGAGAAUUUGAAUCAGUUGGUUAUAUCUGUGAGCAAAAACGGAUGAUUAAAUCCCCUAAGAACAUUUCCUAGAACACUAUUUCCAAUGGCAGCAUAAGCCAUGCAGGUUAAUAAAGAAAUGUAAAAUAAUGUUGUUCCACCAAUGGCAUAUAAUGUCAUUUUCUUCAUCACUUCAUUUUGUGGUGGCUUUAAGGUAUCUUUCAAUUCACCAAGGAAGUAAUAGUAAUAUAUAAGUAUCAAUUGCUUAUUUAUUAAGAUGAUAUAUUGUCAUUUAUCUCCCUAACAUAUGGCCUUAAAGACAAAAUUGAAUGCCGAAUAUACAAUAGAGAUGAGAUUUAGGAUAUUUUGUUCACCAAUAGACUGUUAUCGUUGAAUGUUCUCUAAAUUAUGAGUGUGAUAUAAACUUUGAAGUGGAUAGGUAUCACUACCGUAGAUUAUGAUGGACGAUGCCAUGGCUUGGCUUCUAAACUCAUGCCAAGCCGUUGGCAACAACGGGGGUGUGGUUGUAAAUGAACAAGAAAGCAAGGCAAGAUUGGCACGCAGGCUGAGGCGUGACAGCUAACGCAUGCUAUGAGACAAGUGUGGGAAGCGCCAGACAUUACACGCAGCCCACGGACGCCACAUCUUACAAGUGUUCAGGCGCAAAGCAUGCACACAGUACACAAGCUGAGUUGGAUAGAAUGCGAGAUGGCACAAGGUAGUAACGCUAAGGCAUGUAUGGGCAGCGCAUAUGCUAGUAGGUAGUGGGCAUAAAAGUGUGCAAGGAAGCACGUAAAUGGGUAAUGUACAAUAGGGGUGGGCAUUCGGAUCGGGUUAACCAGAUCCAAAUCGAACUCGAAAUUUAUUUCGGAUUCGGUUCGGUUCUGGUUAACAUAUAAAAUCCGAACGGGUUGAAAAUUAUAACCUGAUCGGAUUUUAAAUUUUGUUCGGGUUGAACCCGAACCGAAUUUAAAAACUGAUCGGGUUGGACCUUAAAAAUUAAAUCUCUCUCUCACCAUUCACGCACGCCCAAUUCCAAUUUCAAGAUCCCUAAAGUAACUGCUUAAGCCUUCAAUAAUCCCCCUCUUCUCAUCUUCUUCCACAAUAGCAGCACAACCCUCCUCCUAGCGCAGCCCACAGAUGUUCAGCCGACGCCCAUGCUGCGGCUCACUCACCUCACGACUGACUCACUCUCACUCCACCGCCCGUUCGCUUUCGAUCAAGCUGUUGUCGCUUCUAUCUUUGCCAUCGCCUCCGACUGUUUCCAAUCCAUCUUUGCAACCAGUAGGUUACUUAUUAUUUUUUUAUUAUUGUUAUUAAUUUAUUAUUAUUAUAAACAAUCGCCGUAUGUUCCUGGUUCAUGCUCUCAAUUGGUUUGUCAUGAAGCAAAAUGUAUUAAAUAUUAUUGAUUGAUGCAUGUCUUUCAUAGCAUAAAGUGGCUUAGAUUGGAGCUUUUCUGAAAAAGUGAAAAUUUCAUUUAAUUAUUUAGUAUUCACGGAUAAGAAAUAGACUUCAUCUUUUUUCUAAUGCCACACGUCUAGAGAGCUUUGCCUGUGUUUUAGUUGGAUAAAAAUUGUUGCAAAUGUCACACGAGAGGAGGGAAGCAUAAAAGGUUUAACCCGAAUGAACCCGAAUUAUCAAACUGAACCAAUCCGAAUUGUGAACCCGAACCAAACCGAAAUAAUUUUGGUUCGGUUUGGUUUGGGUUAGCAUUUUCAACCCGAUUGGGUUCAAUUCUUCAACUCGAACGAGUUGUAACCCAAACCAAAACCCGAACAAUCCGAACCGAAAUCUGAUUUGCCCACCCCUAAUGUGCAACACAUUACAUGGGGGACAAACUACGCAAAUAUGAGAGGCAUGCAUUCGAAUUACAUGUACAAGCUAUGUUCAAGCAAUGGCGGUCGAAUGUUAGCCUUGGUGGUUGGAGUUCUCUGGAAAUAGGUCCUAGAAGUGGGUAGUUAUCGGUGCAACUAAUAGGACAUGACCUUAAAAUUCACACUAGACAUAGGUGUUCACCUUAUAGGGUGGAGAGACUAAAGGUUAUAAUGUCAUACCAUAAGUAUAUUAGCAACUGGUCAUUGUUAAUAGAUUUAAGGGUAUGAGACUUCCAAUAUGCGAUAGUUGAGGAUGCAGAUUUAUUCUGCCCAGUACUGCAGCACUUGCUGUAACAACUGGUGCUAACUUGAUAAACAACAGUCACCCCAUAAGGAGAGUUUGAUCAUUCAACUACUAUAAUCUCAAUUGAAACUUAGACACAUUUAACCUAGUUUAUUUCAUUACGGUAUUGUUUUAUUUAAUUCUCUCACAAUCAUUAAUUACGAUAUAAAUUACUUCACAAUUGUUUGCUUCGGUCUUAAGUUGUUUUGCACUAUUGCGAUUGCUUUAGCAUUUCGAGUAACAUCAAUCUCUGUGGAGACGAUCUUGAAUACUCAUCACUUUAUUACUUGUUGUGUAUACUUGCACAUUGGCAUUGGUAGUAAUUGCUUAUAAAAUUAACCAACAAGUUUUUGGCGCCGUUGCCGGGGAUUGAUUGUUUAUUUUUUAAGUGUGAAGUAAAUUUUGAUAGUGCCAAAUUUGAUUUGAUUCAUUCUAUUUAUUGGCAGAUCGGUACAUGCAUGCGCAAAGACAGAUCUGUGGCAUUCCAAUUCGAUCCUGAGAUUGAAAGGACUGUCAGGAGACUGCGAAGAGAACAAAGGAAUUCAAACACUGUUUCAAGCAUGAAUAAUUUACAGGAUGCGGGAAAUUUGAAUCCUCACGGGCCCUUACAACCAGUCAACAUUCAAGAAGAGCAGAAUGAACAUGCUAAUGGGAGACAGCCAGGCAAUAACAAUAUUAUCUACAUGGCUGAUGACAGAGACAGAGUUAUAAAAGAUUAUGCUGUGUUAACCCCUCAAGUUGUACACCUUGGUAUCAUCAGACCUGAAGUAGAAGCUGCAAAUUUUGAGUUGAAGCCAGUGAUGUUUCAAAUGUUACAAACAGUUGGUCAAUUCAAUGGAUUGCCAAAUGAAGAUCCUCAUCUCCAUCUUAAAUUGUUCUUGGAAGUAAGUGAUGCUUUCAAGAUUGCUGGAGCAACACAAGAUGCCUUAAGGCUGAGGCUUUUUCCUUAUUCCUUACGAGAUCGAGCAAGAGCAUGGUUAAAUUUGUUACCAUCUGAUUCCAUUACUACAUGGAAUGAAUUGGCUGAUAAAUUCCUAAUGAAAUAUUUCCCACCGACAAAAAAUGCAAAGUUGCAGAAUGAGAUUACUUCCUUCCAUCAACUUGAAGAUGACAGUUUGUACGAGGCUUGGGAAAGAUUCAAAGAAUUGCUCAGAAGGUGUCCUCAUCAUGGUAUUCCUUGUUGCAUUCAAUUGGAAACUUUUUACAAUUGGUUGAAUCCGAGUACGAGGUUAAUGGUGGAUAUUUCAGCAAAUGGAGCCCUGUUAUUCAAAUCUUACACUGAAGCUUAUGAAAUUCUGGAGAGAAUUGCCAAUAAUAAUUAUCAGUGGCCUUCAGCCAGGCAACCAGCAGCAAGAGGACCAGCAGGGGUACAUAACAUAGAUGCAAUUACAGCCUUAUCAACGCAAGUAACCUCAUUGACUAACAUGGUAAAGGCCAUGACAUCUGCUCCAGCAACAGUAAAGCAAGUUGCUGAAUUUUCUUGUGUAUACUGUGGUGAAGAACAUGACUUUGAUAAUUUUUCUAGAAAUCCAGCUUUAGUAAACUUUGUGGGUAAUUUCAAUCGACAACCUCAGAACAACUCAUAUUCAAAUACUUACAACCCUGGCUGGAAACAAUACCCAAAUUUCUCAUGGACCAGUCAGAAUCGAAAUGCGCUUGCAUUAAAUGGACAAAAUAGAAACCCACAACCACCUGGUUUUCAUCAGCAGAGUCAAGGGAAAAAACAUAUCAGUUAGGAUCCAAUCACUUCACUGAAAGCAAUGAUUAAGGAGUACAUUGCAAAGAAUGAAGCAAUUGUGCAGAGUCAAGUUGUAUCCUUGAGAAACCUGGAGAACCAAAUGGGGCAACUAGCCACAGCAAUGAGCAGCAGAACUCAAAGAAGCUUACCUAGCAAUACAGAAGACCCUAGAAGAGAGAGCAAAAAACACUGCAAGGUAAUUAAUUUGAGAUCUGGAAAGAAUGUUGAUACCCUAGUUGAUGUGACAAAAAAUGAGAUGAAAUUCAAUUCAGCACAAAAACCGCCUCAAAAUGGAAGCAUGUUACAACAAGCCCCCCACCAAGACACUGGUUAUAUGAGCCAAGCUAUAGCAACUGCAAAGGAAAUUUAACUAGAACAUGCUGAAAAAGAGGUUGCAACACCAGUAGCCACAACCUACACCAAACCGAACAAGCAGAGUUUGAUACCUCCUGAAGCUACUAAGCAGUUUAGACAUCCACCACCUUUCCCAUAAAGGUUCCAGAAGGAAAAACAAGAUAAGCAGUUCAGCAAAUUCCUGGAAGUGCAGAAGCAAUUACACAUAAAUAUACAUUUUGUGGAAGCUUUGGAGCAAAUACCAAAUUAUGUGAAAUUUCUAAAAGACAUCUUGGCAUGAAAAAGAAGGAUGGGAGAGUUUGAAACUGUUGCUUUAACACAGGAAAGCAGUCAUAUGCUUCAAAUUAAGAUUCCUACAAAAGUGAAAGAUCCAGGGAGUUUUACAAUACCCUGCUCUAUAGGAACUAGGUAUGCUGGCAGAGCACUUUGUAACCUGGGAGCUAGUAUUAAUUUGAUGCCAUUGUCUGUAUUUAAGCAGCUGGGAGUAGGGGAAUGCAGACCAACAACAGUCACUCUGCAAUUAGCUGACAGAUCUCAUGCAUACCCUGAAGGAAAAAUAGAUGAUGUACUAGUGAAGGUUGACAAAUUCAUCUUUCCAGUGGAUUUCAUUGUACUGGACUUUGAAGCUGAUAAAGAGGUACCCAUUAUACUUGGAAGACCUUUUCUAGCAACUGGAAAGACUCUGAUAAAUGUGUAGAAAGGAGAGCUCACCAUGAGAGUAAAUGAUCAACAAGUCACAUUUAAUGUACUAGAGGCUAUGAGGAACCCUGAUGAAGUAGAAGAUUGUAAUUUCUUAAGUGUAGUGGAUUUUGUUGGAGCAGACAAAAUGGACAGAUGCUGCAGUAAUGCACUCGACAAAGUCACUACCUUUGAGGAUGUAGAAGAGGAAGAUGUUGCAGCAAUUCAGACAAAUUGGAUGGACAAAAAGCAAUUUGAUAGGCACAAUAGGUUUAUUAAACACCUGAAUCUUUCAGACAGGGAAGUAAAAAUAACUUUACCAUCUAUUGAAUCACCUCCUAGUCUUGAAUUAAAAUUGUUACCUUCACAUUUGAAGUAUGCUUAUCUUGGUCAAAACAACACUCUCUGUAAUCAUUUCUUCUACUUUGGAUGCAGGUCAAGAACAGAGUCGAGUAGAUUUGUUUGGAAAAUACAGAAAAGCAAUUGGAUGGACCAUGGCAUAUAUAAAAGGGAUAAGCUCAUCAAUAUGCAUGCACAAAAUCCUGUUAGAAGAUUGCUCCAGCAAUUCAGUGGAGCACCAGAGAAGGUUGAACCCUAUUAUGAAAGAAGUAGUGAAGAAAGAAAUCAUUAAAUGGUUGGAUGCUGGAAUCAUAUACCCAAUAUCAGACAGUUCAUGGGUUAGCCCAGUUCAAUGUGUUCCAAAGAAAGGAGUGAUAACAGUAAUAGCUAAUGAGAAUGAUGAAUUUAUUCCUACAAGGACAGUGACUGGAUGGAGAGUAUGUAUGGAUUACAGGAAGCUCAACAAAGCCACAAGGAAAGACCAUUUCCCACUUCCAUCAUAGAUCAGAUGCUGGACAGACUUGCUGGAAAAUAAUACUAUUGUUUCUUAAAUGGGUAUUUAGGCUACAACCAGAUUGCUAUAGCUUUAAAAGAUCAAGAGAAUACUACAUUUACUUGUCCUUAUGGAACAUUUGCCUUCAGAAGAAUGCCCUUUGGGUUAUGCAAUGCUCCAACAACUUUUCAGAGAUGCAUGAUGUCUAUAUUUUCUGAUAUGGUAGAGCAGACUUUAGAAGUUUUCAUGGAUGACUUCUCAGUUUUUGGAAAAACAUACAAUGAUUGUUUACACAACUUGGAAGAAGUCUUUAAAAGAUGUGAGAUGACCAACUUAGUACUCAAUUGGGAAAAGUGUCAUUUCAUGGUGCAAGAAGGAAUAGUGUUGGGUCACAAGGUAUAAAAGAAUGGCAUUGAGGUAAACAAAGCCAAGAUAGAGGUAAUAGAUAAACUGCCACCUCCAACUUCAGUAAAAGGUAUUAGGAGUUUUUUGGGUCAUGCUGGAUUAUACAGAAGAUUUAUUAAGGUUUUUUCCAAAGUAGCUAAACCACUAUGCUCAUUGCUUGAACAUGACAAACCUUUUCACUUUGACAAAGAUUGCCUUCAAGCAUUUGGAGAAUUAAAGAAAGCUCUGAUCACUGCUCCAGUAGUUAUAUCUCUAGAUUGGACUUUACCAUUUGAACUGAUGUGUGAUGCUAGUGAUCAUUAUGUGGGAGCAAUAUUAGGGCAAAGAAAGGAUAAGGUUUUUCAUUCCAUAUACUAUGCAAGCAAAACUUUUACUCAAACUCAGAUCAAUUACACCACUAUAGAAAAAGAGUUGCUAGCAUUAGUAUUUACUUUUGACAAAUUCAGAGCUUACUUGGUGGGUACUAAAGUAACUGUUUACACAGACCAUGCAGCCAUCAAAUACUUAAUUUCAAAGAAGGAUGCCAAACCAAGAUUAAUCAUAUGGAUCUUAUUGCUUCAAGAAUUUGAUCUGGAAAUUAAAGAUAGAAAGGGGACUGAGAAUCAAGUGGCAAACCACUUAUCACAGCUGGAAGCAGACACUAGUACCUUGAUAAGGAGGGGCAUCACUGAAACAUUUCUUGAUGAACAGCUGUUGGCAAUACAGCAAGCACAGAUGCUGCAGCAGUCAGGACCCCCAUGGUAUGCAGAUUUUGCUAACUACCUAGUAAAUGGGAUGCUACUAACUGAGCUGAAGUUUCAGGAGAAAAAUAAAUUUCUUCAUGAUGUUAGAAGUUAUCAGUGGGAUGAUCCACAUUUAUAUAAGUUAUACUCAGAUAAAGUAAUACGAAGAUGUGCUUCCGAAGGAGAAAUACACCACAUACUAGAGUCAUGUCAUGCUGCAGCAUAUGAAGGACAUUUUGGUGGUCAUAGAACAACUGCUAAAGUUCUGCAAUCAGGUUACUACUGGCCUACUAUUUUUAAAGAUGCUUAUCAAUUUGUUAAAUGUUGUGACAGGUGCCAAAGGACAGGGAACAUAACUAAAAGACAUGAAAUGUCAUUGACUAACAUUCUAGAAGUGGAAGUUUUUGAUAUCUGGGGAAUAGAUUUUAUGGGACCUUUUCCACCAUCCUUUAGGAACUUAUAUAUCCUUGUUGAUGUGGAUUAUAUCUCCAAGUGAGUAGAAGCUUCAGCAUUACCUACCAAUGAUGUUAAAACAGUGGUGGCUUUUCUACAGAAAAAUAUUUUUUCCAGGUUUGGCACUCCUAGAGCAAUUAUUAGUGAUGAGGGUACACAUUUUUGCAACAAAGUCUUUGCUGCAACUAUGAUGAAAUAUGGAGUCAGACACAAGGUAGCAACAGCAUAUCACCCACAAUCCAUGGUCAGGCCGAAAUGUCCAACAAAGAAAUUAAAAAGAUCUUAGAAAAAGUGGUGAACCCAACGAGGAAGGAUUGGUCUUUACACUUACAUGACUCUCUAUGGGCCUACAUAACAGCAUACAAAACUCCACUCGGCAUGUCUCCUUACCGAAUUGUUUAUGGAAAGGCUUGUCAUUUGCCACUAGAGCUAGAGCAUAAAGCACACUGGGCACUGAAGAAAUUAAAUUGGGACAUUCAUGCUGCAGCAGAGCAAAUGAAGCUUCAACUUUGUGAGCUUGAUGAAUUACGACUAUUUUCAUAUGAAAAUGCAAGAAUCUAUCAAGAGAGGACAAAACACUGGCACGAAAAACAUAUUCAACACAUGCAAUUCAACCCUAGUCAAUUAGUGUUGCUACACAAUACAAGACUAAGAUUAUUUCCGGGAAAGCUCAAGUCACGAUGGUCUGGCCGUUUAAGCUGUUAAAAUUUUAUCCUCAUGGAGCUGUUGAUCUUCUAGAUGAACAAACAAGUCAAGAAUUCAAAGUUAAUGAACACUGGGUUAAGCAUUACAUACAUCCAGCGCCCGAUUGUUCAAAAGAGGUGUUACUCCUUAAAGAACCCAGCUAUUGAACAAUGAAAGAAUGUCAAGCUGAAGGACCUUAAAUCAAGCGCUCCAUGGGAGGCAACCCAUUGUGGAGACAGCCACUUUAAACCAACUUUGAUCUCCUUUAAGUGCAGAGGUGAGCCACGUGUCAGAGGCUUUAGUGUGGAGUAUGUAACCGUUGCUAGAGUAAGCGAAUGGGUGCUGCAGCAACCAAUUUUACCGUUACAGUAAAUUAAAAGAUGGAGCCUCUCACUUACCGUUGGAAAUAAAUCAUGACAGAUGGAGGGACAUUAGCCUCAAUUUGUUACUACUACAGCAAUGCCGAGGUAUAAGAAAACAGCCAGCCGCCUCAAAGAUCCGUCACGCUUCCAGAGUUACCACGCUGAAGAAAAAUAUGAGGAAUUCAUAGAGCCGUGUAAGAUUCUGGAAGAAAAAGGGUUUCAAUUUCCAGAACAACUCACUGGAAUUGUGCAAACAAUUCACAAUGCUGCAGCAAAGCGAGAAUGGUUAGAGUUUUGCAACCACCCUCGGGAUCCUGUGGUACCAGUAGUCAAAGAAUUUUACGCCAAUUUGGUAAGCCCUGAUCAGCACAACAUUUGGGUAAGAAACACACUUGUUCCAUUAGACUCCCGUGUUAUAAAUGGCUUUUAUAAUUUACCUGCUGAAAUUAAUUGUGAGUAUGCCAAGUUGCUUGAUAAAUUGACCCCGAAAAAGUGGAACACCAUUUUCACAACUCUUACAAUCGAAGGGGCAUCAUGGGCUAACGAGGACGGACGUGUAGUUAAUAGGAUAGAUUUGAAACCGUGAAAUUUCUGAAAUCUAGGCUUAUGCCCACCACUCAUACUACUACGGUUUCACAAGAGAGGUUGGUCUUGUUAUAUGUCAUUGUUUGAGGGCUUCUCAUAGAUGUGGGUAGCAUCAUCGCAAAAGAAAUCCGGGAUUGUGCAGUUAAGUCUCACUGAACUGCUGCCUUGCUAUUUCCUUCACUCAUCACCAGCAUUUGUGUAGUUUUUCGGUGUUCGUCUUGACACACGAGAUGACCAUGUCAAGAACGAUGGUGCGCACCAUUGAGAGAGUUGCUGGUGAGAGUGCGGGAAUAACCACUGAACCAGCUGUUGUAACAGGUGCAGGACGGGCUAUUGGCUUAGAACAGACUAUCCAGGCACUCAGCACCAAUAUAACUCAAUGUGCGGAAGCUCAGCAGAGGGAAAACGAUCGGUUUUGGAGUUGUCUACAGCACCUGGACAACCAACUACACCAAUUUGCUCUGUACAUGACACGCACUCACAGGAACUUCCCUGAUUCAUUGCUCCAGCAGUAUAAUUUUGACAGCAACACCACAGGUGCUCCAGCAGAAGCCAGUGAAGAAGCCACUGCCACAGAUGAGCCAGCAGAAGAAGCUGCAGCUGAACAUAAGUAGAGGUAGAAUCAAAAGAUAUUGAACCAUCUGAGGAAGAAGGUGACAAGUCUGAGACUGAUAGCUCACCCACAGAGGCAGAGGACAACUCGGAGAAAGAACGUGAGGAACCUUCUAUCCCAACUCAGUCCAAAACCAGGAAAAAGCACAUUAUUCAAGAAGAUGAGGAGGAAGACCUUGAAGAGGAACCGUCUAUUCCAGUCUUUGCGGGAAAGGGAAAGGGCAAGGGUAAAGCAAAAAUGACAACACCUCUAGCCUUUGACGAUGAAAUGGAGCAAGUUGAUGCUGAGCUGGCUGCUGCAGUAACCAGAGUUAUGUCUACACCUGCAGAAGCCAAGCAACUACUUGCUAUCACAGCUGAGGGCCAGGCAGCUGAUGCAUCAACUCCAAUUCCUCCACAGCAAACUCCUAGCCAGCCUGUUCGUACCAGUCCGCAACAAUACAGCAAAAGAAAAGGCAGUACGUCUAAAGGCACUGCUACAGCAACCCCAGCCACAACUCCUCUCACAAGCCCCGUGAAGAAAAAGACAAAGACAUUGUCAGCUACUUCCCCACAAGUUUUACCAAAGUAUAAGCUGCGCAGUGCAUCCAAGAAGCGCUGAUAGCAUCCCGUCAUGUGCUGCAGUCCCCACCACAGGGGAGUAUUCUUUCCUUGCUAGUUCACUUCAUUAAAAAAAAAACAUUUUUUCCUUCUAUUUGUCAAUUUGUGUGGUAUUUUCUAAGGUCUUUCAUAUCCUUGUCAGUUCGUGUGCCCUUGUUAUGUAUGCUUGUGAGGACACAACAACUCUCAAGUUUGGGGGGGUCGUGUUUCCGAAUGCAUGUGUUUAUGUUUCUGUUGUGUGAAGCUAUGUUAUCUAAUAUUUGUGUAUGGAUUUGAAAACCUAAUGAAGAUAAAUUGAGUGUUAUUCAGUAUUUAUGAGAAUGCCAAGUAGAGAUAGUUAUAGAUGGAAGUGAAAUUCUGUCCCGACACUUAGACUUUGGUUGAAUUGUAUGAGACUGCUAGAGCAGAGCUAAAAGAAUAGAAAAGAGCUUAAGUUUGGGGGGAGAAGCAAGUUUGAUUGACUGUGAUAUCUAUGAAAUAAACUUUGUUCCAAUGGCUCAAGUUGCUGAGUAACCAGAUCUGAGUAUGUACCCCAUAUGCAGAAUUGUGUUCAAAGGUAGCGAGAGUUAUGAGCAAUGCUGUUCAUGAGCCCCAUAUUCAGCCUUGAGUAAAAGAUACCUCUAGAUAAGAUUAUACUGCAAAUAUUGCUGCAGUAACUCUGAUCUGGGCAUGGUUUGAGUAAUUGGGUGUCCUCAUUACAAGUGAUUGACAUUCACAUGAAAGAUAAAUGUUACAGUGAGGAGGUUGAUUACUCCCCAGUUUAUCAAUAUUAAAAUCAUCACAGUUUGAGUAUGUGAAACUUGUGCUACCCCAUUUAUGAAUGAAGUGUUAUCACUGCUGAAAUUCAUGUAGUCCCUUGGUGAUGUUAUAGCAUCUCUGGAAUUCAAUCAAAGGAGCACACACACACUAUGGACAGAAAGAAGCUUAAGUCUAGAACUGAUUUACUAUGGUCAUUUUGCAUGAUUGGGAUUGUGAUCUGAAGGUGGAAAAAUCCUUGCAAAUUUGAUAAAAGAGCUAAAAUUACGUGCAUGAUUGUUUGUCGGAAGUGUUAGUAUGUGUCAUUACUUGAGGGCAAGUAAUGGUUUAAGUUUGAGGGUGUGAUAACUCUAGGAAAUCAGAGUUGUUACAUCAAUUCUAGACUUAAAUCAAGAUCAUUUAGAGAACAAAUAAGGUGUUUUUAUUACAUUUUGGUUACAUUUUGCAUAAACAUUCAUUUUAGUUGAGUCUUAAUAAGUUUUGCUUGAAUCAAAGUAAUUUGUGCUAAAAAUAAGUGCAUAAUUGUAGGUUUUCAGAAAGUCUUAAUUCAUGAGAGGAUGUUGAGACAUUAGAUGAGCAAGAGGAGGAAAGAAUGUCUAGUAUUACUGUAAGUGUAAUGAUCAAUUUUUUUUCUUUAUUUGUUAGCACUUUGCAAUGAUCUAAAUAAAUAGUUAUAAAUAAUAAAUAAGGUAAAUGUUCUUUCAAUCCCUAUAGAUUAAACCAAUUACUCAAUUAGUUUUUGUGCUCUCAUGUUGUUAUUUUUGUUGGAAUUAGAUUUAAUUUUUCAAGGGUGAAAUGGUAUUUAUAUCUGAUAUUGUUUAAAAUUGAAAUAAAUUUGACAAGAAACUAUGAACAAUAGAUGACGAAUCAGAUUUCAUGGAAUUAUAUAUAUAGUAAGGCCAGGGAUGACAAAACCUGGGGUUGGGCCCAGGAAUGGCAAAUCCUAGCUCCGACACGGACAUGUUUUUUGAACACCUAGGCUAGGCAUUUUGUUCGAGCUUCAAAAGCCUUGGAUUUUAUAUUUUAUAAUAUUAAGUAUGUAUAUGUUUAGAUUUAUAUAUUUUUUAUUUUUUAUUUUUUUCAAUGAAAUUAGGCAUGAAAUAUGAAUUUAAAUGUUCAAAAAUUUUAACGUAUGUAAUAGAUUGGCCGAAUAAAUAUAAUUAUUUAAAAUAAUAUAUUUUUUAUAAUUUUCUUAUCAAAAUUAGAAUUUUGGACACUAUUGAUUGUCCGGGGCUAUGGCCUGACCUCAUCCCUUGACUAGAUAUUACUUGGCCCAUAUCGCGUAAGUUCUGUCCAAGUCCGAUUGCGCGGAUAUUUUUGACACCCCUAAAUAAGAUUUUAAUGCAAUUAUCCAUAUUUAAUUUGGUCACUUUAUCAACUAGUAAUAAAAUUUCUGUACUUUUAUCAAAAGUGCGACCUUAUGUCCAAUGAACCUCGAUUACUAAAAUGAUCUCAAAUUUCAUCAAUGCAUUUUAUAAAAUGAACUAAAAAAAUGGAAACAAUUGAAUUUGAAUGCUUUCAAACUCGGGCAAAACUAUGGUACCACAGUAGUACCAUACCACAGCUGGAUUCAGCCAUUGGAUCCAGCCUAUAGUUGUCACCAAAACUAAAUCCAAUGGCUGGAUCCAGCUGUGGUAUGGUACCACUGUGGUACCAUAACUGGACCCUUCAAACUCAUUAACAAAAUAAUAUUGAAACUACUUGUGUAACAAAUAGGGCGCUAAGUGAGAUGAACCCUUUAUUAGUAAAAUUUUUUGUUUUCUGUGUAAAGAAAAUUUUACGAAUACAAUAAAAUUUAAAAAGAGAUUAAAAAGAAGAAAAAUAUGAUAUGAAUAUAAAUGGUAUGAGACAAACACCGAUGCGCAAUUCCAAUAAGAAAACAAUUUUUUAUUUGAUUAAAUAACUUCAUACAAGGAAAAUGCCAAAAUCAAGGGUUCGGUGUUGUUUGUUUUUUCACUUAAUAUUGAAACUAGAUCCAGCUAUUUUCAAUUUUUUUUGUUUUUAAAUUAACACCGAAAAUUUAUCAAAUAAGUUUGAAUAAAAUUAAGUGUGAAAAAGAAUAACUUAACAUUUAAUGUUGAAUGCUAGAUGGAUUAUUUAACUUUUACUUUCGAAACUACCAUCAUAUUGAAUCCAUUCUAGCGCUAAGUUUACUAAACAAUUUUAUCAUAUGGUUGUUCACUUCUUGCUGACCAUUUGAAAGUGAUUCUAUUGUUUUCUCCAAUUUUAUCAUAGGAUUUGUCUGCUUUUCCCCUGCAUAUUUUGUGAAAUAAAGAUAGAAUCUGAAGUUGGCAGCAUAAAUAAGCUCAUUUGAGAAGCACAUAAUUUUAGGGGUGGUCACGCAUUGGUUGGAUAAGAUUUGUGAAUACUCAAUCUAAACCACUAUUGAAUGGGUUGAUAUAAAAUCAAUUCAAUCCAACCCAAUAAAUAUGCUCAAUCCAAUCCAACCUGACCCUUAAAUCAUCAGGUUGGGUUGGGUUGAUCAAGUUGAAAAUUUGAAUGUCAAAUUAAAAUUAAAAUUAAAAAUUUAAUAAAAAAGAUAUAAGACUUAAAACGAGACUUAUUAAAAUUAAAUGUAAAUAUAUUAUAACAUAAAAAUUUCAUUCAUGGUCUAGCAUUCGAUAAAGAAAGCUAAAAACACUUAAAUGUGUGGUCACCUAGAAUUUGUAAGGCCUAUAAAUACAUGGCCAUGUCUCCGACUGAAGCAAUGAAGUUAAGAAUAACUAAAUUUUUCACUAGUAAAAUACUUUCCACUAAUCAAAUAUUCCUAAUAAAAAAUAUUUCCACUUUAAUUAUUUUAGCCUACUAUCUACCCCUGCUCCAACUCCUAUGCCUUCCACUUCCUUAAUUCUUGGGAAUCGAAUCUUAAAAAUUUUUUAUAUCAUGGAAUUAAAGGAGGAAAGAUCAAAAUGAAAGAGUAUGAUAAGUUUCUUUUGAAAAAUGAAUUAUUUUUUCAACAUUUCUUUGAUAACGUAUCAUUCUCACUAUAAACUAUAUUGUGAUUAUUUUAUGUUGUUUGCUUAUUUUAUUUUAUAUCUUUGGUUACUACAGCAUUUUUCUAGAGUAAAAAUAUAUAAAAGCUUCAAAAUAGGCAUGGAGUUCCAUGCAUAUUCUGUUAUUCCGUCUUUCGAUUUAUUGACACAUUGACACAAAACAAGGAUAGAACUAGUUUCAGAGACAACUUAAAGUUGAAAAUUACAUAAAUUAAGCUUCUUAUUCAAAAGCCGUACGUGCUGGUUUUGGGGGGUCAAUGAGAAAAAUGUCAAGAAGUUGAUCGAUUGUGGUGAAUUUAAAAUCUGGAUACAGCUUUGAAGCUUCAAUGUCAUCCUCUCCAAGUUCAAAGUUCAUCGAGUCACCCUUUGCAAGUAGGCUGUGCAUGAUGGAUAUUGGUAUGUCUUCUGGAGGUGGUAAGGCUGCAACAAUUGAAAAAUUAAUAGGUUGUAAUAAACAAUAUCAAUUAAGUGUAAAAAUGAAUGAGAUGUCAAAGAGAUCGAAGCUUAUGAAAUCUUAUAGUUAGGGGUGGAACUAGGCAGAGACGAAGAUAUGAAUUUUUCUUAGAAUGAGUUAACUAAAAUUUUUUCAAUUUAAAAAAAUCUAAAAUAAAAGCUGUUACAUCACCCUAACAUUAAAUAAGUACUUUCAGGUUUGAGAAAUACUUUAUUAAUUGACUUCAUUUAACAAGAAAAAUUAUCCUAUGUACACCAUACCCAAUUUGGCACAAUUAAAUAGUUUUUAUUUUAUUGACUUUCUUAAACUUUUUAAUUAUCUAAUAAUACUCGGAUUGUGGGGUAUUGUACGCUUAGUUAGAUACUAACUUCAAACAAUCAACAGUCAAAUGAGUGAUAAAUAUCAUACACGAGAAACAUAUUAGGUUAUGGCAAAAAUUUAUAAAAGAUGAGCGCCUGCUUUGAAAUUUAACCAAAAAACAAAUUUACGUAUUGACCCUACUAGAUUAUACUUUGGGCCCAUAGAAUGGAACAUCAUUCCGGUUCCGCUCCUGCUUGCAUUGAUUUUAUCUUUUAUGACUUUAUAUAAAAGUGAAUAAUUUUAUUAAACAAAAAAUUAAAUCAAAAAUCAAAAUUCUUACUAUGAGAUAGCUUUACUAGCUCUUCCUCAGAAACUUGAAUUCUUUUAAAACUCUGUCCAAUCUUCUGUUCCUAAAGGGAGAUCAAUUCAAGAUGUGAUAAAAUGUUUGUUUGCGGUCAAUAAAUCGCAAUUCGAUUGCAUGUCCUUGGAUCAUUUAUCACUUUUAUUGUACAUUUAGCUAUAUCUUCCUCGUAAUUAAAGACAACUGAAAUAGAUAAAUAGAUGAUAGAACAUCAAAAAGAUAUUCAAAAAAAUGAAAUUUUAGUGUAAAUUUUAUUUUAAUAUGCGUGGACUUCUGCAUUGGGAAGGUAUACGUACCUUUUGCUUCACCACUUCCAUAAACAACAACAUCAUCAUGUGAUUCAAAUGGACGAAGCAAGACAUUCACAAAGUAAGCACCACAGAGAUUUGCUGAGACAAAGGUGUAGGGAAUUUGAGCUGCUUCUAUUGCCCUUCUUACUAUUCGUUUUUUCUCCAAGUAAGCUUCAAAAGGGGGCAGAGGCCUCACCCUGUCCUCUUCACAUCCAAACUCAGAUGGAAGAAACCUCUAGCAACCAAAACAUAGUGUGUUUAAGAUUUGUUCUAUAUAAACAAAUUGAAGCAAUGCAGCACUGAAUUGUAAAAAGACACUAAAAUGUUACCAAGACACAAAUACGAAAUUAAAGUUUGUGAUUUUAGGUAUUUUGCUAAUUAAGUAGUGCUGGUAUAUAUUUUUAUGUCUUUUAUAACUAACUACUAUUGCGUAGUUUAAAUCUACAUUUACAAAAUGCGGACGUCUACACUUAAAAGUUUCUAAUAUUUUUCAAUUAGCAAACAAACUAUAUUUCAAUUUCUCCCCCCAAAAAAAAAAAAGCACGAUUUGGUUUAUUUUUUAAAAAAGAAAGAGCUCAAUCAAAUACCUUGAUGUUACCCGCAACUUUGAUGGCAUGAACAAUUUCCAGUUGAUCAAGAAACUGAGGAUAAGCUACAGUAGAUAUCACCACAUCUACUUCCUUAAGUAUAGAUACAAUUUUCUUGUGCUCGUCCAGCUCUCCCUGUUUUAAUUUCAACACUAUUAUUACAAAUAAUAUCGAAGGGCUCCAAUUAGAUCAACACAAAAUUAAUCUCAUAAAAAGAAGUAUAAGAGGUCUGAGGUUCGAAUUUCGCGCGUGCAUUUAAAGGGGGAAAAAAGAGGAAAAAAAAAAAAGAAACAAAACCAAAGGAGAUCGAGAUAAUUGAGUAAUGAAGUAACCUCAAUAAUGGUGACGCCAAUACCCUGAAAUUCCUUGUGGAUUUCAAGCUUGGAGGGUCUUGAAUUUUGUGUAACAGGUCGAGCAUAAACAAAAGUUUUGUGACCAGAAGAAACACUUGCUUUCACCAUAUACUUACCGAGGUAUCCAGUACCCCCAAAGAUAAGUUUCUUUGGUUUUGUGUUCUCACCUUCCAUUUCUUCCUUUCAUUUCAAUUUAUCUUUUCAUAUUCCCUUCCCUUUUUACACAUUUAUAUGUUGAAAAUGUGAGACUCGACAGUUCAUGCGGAUAUAAUUGCUGCAAACGAACGGAUAUAAUUGAAGAAACAAAUUUAUGAAUGCUAGAAAUAUCUAAGCAUCUAAUAAAUUUCUUUUAGACAGGUAGAAAUAUCUAUGCAAAAGUUGUUAAAAAUUAGCCACAACGAAAAAUGCUAAAUGUGUGGUCACCUAGUGUUUGUAAGGCCUAUAAAGACAUGGCCGUGUAUCCAAUUCAAGCAAGGAAGUUAAGAACAACAAAAUCUUCCACUAGUAAAAUCCUUUCCACUUCCCUUUAUCUUUGAUCAAAUAUUAUUGAUCAAAAAUAGUUUCCACUUUAAUUAUUUUAGCCCACUAUCUACCCCUGCUCCAACACCUGCCUUCUACUCCCUCAAUUUUUGGGAACCGAAUCUAAAAAUUUUUAUAUCAUUGAAUUUAAAGGGGGAAAGAUCAAAAUGGAAGAUCAGUAUGAUAAGUUUCUUUUGAAAAUGAAUUAUUUUUUCAAUAUUUCUUUGAUAAUGUAUCAUUCUCACUAUAAACUAUAUCGUGAUUAGUUAUGUUUUCUGCUUAUUAUUAUCAUUAUUUUAACAUCACAGCAUUUUUCUAUAUAGUAAAAAUAUAUAAAUGCUUAAAAAUAUGCAUGGAGUUCCAUGCAUGUUCUGUUAUUCUUUCUUUUGAUUUAUUGACACAAAACAAGGAUAGGACUAGUUUUGGAAACAUAAUUAAUUAAAGUCGAAAAUUACAUAAAUUAAGCUGCUUAUUCAAAAGCCGUACGUGCAGGCUUUGGGGGGUCAAUUAGAAAAAUGUCAAGAAGUUGAUCGAUUGUGGUGAAUUUAAAAUCAGGGUACAGCAUUGAAGCUUCAAUGUCAUCCUCUCCAAGUUCAAAGUUCAUCAAGUCACCCUUAGCAAGUGCGCUGUGUAUAAUGGAUAUUGGUAUGUCUUCUGGAGGUGGUAAGGCUGCAACAAUUGAAAAUGGAUAGGUUGUAAUGAACAGUAUUAAUUGAGUUUAAAAAUAAAUGAGAUGUCAAAGAAAUUGAGACCUCUGAAAUCUUAUAGUCAAGGGUGGAAUUAAGCAUAGGUGAAGAUAAGAAUUUUUCUUAGAAUGGGCUAACUAAUUUUUCUUUAUUUUUAAAAAAUUUUAAAAUUAAAGCUGUUAAAUCACCCUAACAUUAAAUAAAUACUUUUAGGUUUGGGAAACACACAAUUAAUUAACUUCAUUUAAUAAGAAAAAUUAUCCUAUUGUGACAUCAUACCCAAACUGGUAUAAUUAGAUAGUUUUUAUUUCAUUUUCUUGAUUUUUUAAUUAUCUAAUAAUGCUCAGACUGUGGGUUAUGGUACCCUUAGUUAAAUACUAACUUCAAACAAUUAACAUUCAAAUUAGUGAUAAAUAUCUUACACAAGAAACAUAUUUGGUUAUGGUAAAAAAAUUAUAAAUGAUGAGGGUCUGCUUUGAAAUUUAACCAAAACAAUUCACGUAUUGACCCACUAGAUUUACACUUUGGCCCAAUGGAAUAGAACAUCAUUCUGAUUCUGCUUGUAGUGAUUUUAUCCUUUUAUGACUUUAUAUAAAAGUAAAUAAUUUUAUUAAAAAAAUUAAAUAAAAAAUCAAAAUUCUUACUCUCAGAUAGCUUUACUAGUUCUUCCUCAGAAACGUGAACUCUUUUGAAAUUCCAUCCAGUCUUUUGUUCCCAAAGGGAGAUCAAUUCAAGUUGUGAUAUAAUGCUUGCUUGCGGUCGAUAAAUCACAAUUCGAUUGCAUGUCCUUGGAUCAUUUAUCACUUUGAUUGUACAUUUAGCUAUAUCUUCCUCGUAAUUAAAGACAGCUGAAAUAGAUAAAUAGAUGAUAGAACAUAAAAAAGAUAUUAAAAAAAUGAACUUUUAGUGUAAAUUUUAUUUUAAUAUGCGUGGACUUCUGCAUUGGGAAGGUAUACGUACCUUUUGCUUCACCACUUCCAUAAACAACAACAUCAUCAUGUGAUUCAGAUGGACGAAGCAAGACAUUCGCAAAGUAAGCACCACAGAGAUUUGCUGAGACAAAGGUGUAGGGAAUUUGAGCUGCUUCUAUUGCCCUUCUUACUAUUCUUUUUGUCUCCAAGCAAGCUUCAAAAGGGGGCAGAGGCCUCACCCUGUCCUCUUCACAUCCAAACUCAGAUGGAAGAAACCUCUAGCAACCAAUACAUAGUGUCUUUAAGAUCUGUUCUAUAUAAACAAAUUUGAAGCAGUGCAGCACUGAAUUGUAAAAAGACACUAGAAUGGUAAAAAGAUGCAAAUAUUAAAUUAGAGUUUGUGAUCUUAUAUAUUUUGCUAAUUAAGUAGCCUAUAGCUAACUACAAUUGCCUCACCUAAAUCUACAUUUACAUAGUGCGGACAUCCACAUUUAAAAGUUUCUAAUAUUUUUCAAUUAAUAAACAAACUAUAUUUCAAUUUCUCCAAAAAAAACAAAAGGACAACAAGCGAUUUAUUUUAUUUUUAAAAAAGAAAGAGCUCAAUCAAAUACCUUGAUGUUACCAGCAACUUUGAUGGCAUCAACAAUUUUCAGUUGAUCAAGAAACUGAGGAUAAGCUACAGUAGAUAUCACCACAUCUACUUCCUUAAGUACAGAUACAAUUUUCUCGUGCUCGUCUAGCUCUCCCUAUUUUAAUUUCAACAGUAUUAUUACAAAUAAUAUCGAAGGGUUCCAAUUACAUCAACACAAAAUUAAUCUCAUAAAAAGAAGUAUAAGAGGUUUGAGGCUCGAAUUUCGGGCGUGCAUUUAAAGAGGGAAAAAAAGAGCAAAAAAAUAAAUAAAUAAACAAAACCCAAGGAGAUCGAGAUAAUUGACUAAUGAAGUAACCUCAAUAAUGGUGACGCCAAUACCCUGAAAUUCCUUGUGGAUUUCAACCUUGGAGGUUCUUGAAUUUUGUGUAACAGGUCGAGCAUAAACAAAAGUUUUGUGACCAGAAGCAACACUUGCUUUCACCAUAUACUUACCGAGGUAUCCAGUACCCCCAAAGAUUAGUAUCUUUGGUUUUGUGUUCUCACCUUCCAUUUCUUCCUUUCACUUCAAUUUAUCUUUCAUCCUCCCUUCCCUUUUUACAUAUUUAUAUAUGAUAUCAGGAACUCACAUUUUUAGUGUUGAAAAUGUUAUACACACAGAAUCUGGUAAAUUUGUGUUUCUUGAAAAAGUUGCUUCACCUAAACUAUUAUUUUUUAAUUUUCAUCAAUAAUCAAUAUUCUUAACCACAUAAAUUUUAUCUCCAUUAUUGUUCCCCGAAAAAAAAAAAUAUUUAAUUAUAAAUUUCAAUAGCUAAAUGUAUUAUUAAAAUAUUUGAAUUUUUUCAACCACGAUAAAAAGAAGUCUAAUCCGACCAACAAGUGCUUAAUUUUCUACAUGUUGAAAAUUUGACUUGAAUGUGGGAAAACAUUAAAGACAAUAGGACAAAAUAAUUGAAAUCAUAAUUCUCUCUUGAUCUAGUCUUUAUAUGAGUAAAUUUUAUUAACACAAUUGGUGGUUAAUAAAUUAAAAAAAAAAUAGUUAAAUCUUAAUCUUAUACUAACACUAAAAUACAAGUGACAUAAGAUCUAUAAAAGAUCAAGAGUGUUCAGACUAAGGAUAUUAAUCCAAAUAAUUGCUCCGCAAAAGAGUGAUAAUGAAAUAGCAAAAUUCCUUGACAAUUUUGUUCAUGCAAUUAAAUACCAAGUGGUGAGAGCAAAAACAAAUAAAAGGCCAAAGCCUUUCGGCUUUAGAAUUGAAAAGGUGGGGCCCAUUUUGAAGAUUCUAUAAGUAAGCUUUUGGGUUUUGGACGAAGAGGAGAGUAGGGGUGGGCGCGGUUCGGUUCGGUUCGGUUUUUUACUAAAUUUUUCAUAAUCGUUCGAUUACGAUUAUUUUAAAAUCAUAAUCGCGAUUAAUCAAAUCACCAAAAUAAUCAAAUACUCGAUUAAUCGAAAUAAUUCGAUUCGGUUCGGUUCGAUUAUUUCGAUUAUGGACCUAUUGGAUCUAUUUUGAGUUUUUUUAAAUUUAAAGCCUUAAACUAAUAAAUCUACCAUAAACAUAAAAAGUUAACAAACAAAAAUUGUAAAAUAAAAUAAAAUAAAGCUUGCUACAAUAUUAAUUUCUAAGAGGAUAAAAUGUUUUGAGGAAGAAAAUGUUAAUCCAACAGGACACAAAUUCAUCAAUUGGAUUUCCAUUUAAGCAGCCUUCCAGACUGAGAAAGUGAGAAUCCCAUCAACAUGGCAACAUGCAACAAUAAUAUGACUUGAUUGACUUAUAUAAGUACUUCAAGUCUUGCAAUUAAAUUAAAAAUUGUAACUAAUUAAAUGUAAAGAACCCGAGGACCUGCAAUUCUUCGACUAGCCAUGUACAAAUAUAAAUGGCCAACCCAACAGGCAAAUUUUCAUAGAAAGUAAAGCAUUUUCUGGGCACCAUAAUGAUCAUGGAAGCUGAAAGUUUAAGUGAAAGCAGAAACAAAAGGGAAGAAGACAGUAAGUCAAGGCAAAAGGUGCAGAGAGAGACAGAGUUAAUUGGAAAUGCCAAAGACAGAGUUAAUUGGAGAACUGUCUAAAUUCUCCAUUAUUACCACUCAUGAUUUGAUGGUUAUCUAAAUUCUCCAUUUCCGUAACACAGGUACAAACAUGAAAUAUUUCAGCAGCGGUUCCUUUCAAUUACAAAAUCACAAAAAUUAAAUAUCACAAAAUCUUGCAUUUACUUAAACAAGUUCUGGUUCCUUUCAAUUACAAGAAAUAACAAUAUCAUUCCGUUUCCAUCACUGAAGAACUUCGAUUGAAAUCAAAACUUUUUUUGUUGUUUACCUUGUGAAGGCGAUCGAGAGUGAAGGAAAGGAGAACUUCUUAAGGUUGCUGAGAGAUAAACUUCCAGAAAACAAAUACCAAUCUUCACAGUUCACACGGCAGGUGACAGUGGCAGCAGCAGCAGUGAUGACUGACGAGCAGCGGCGGCAACGAGCUUGCAGCGGUGGCGACGAGCAGAGGGGACAGAAGAAGACAGAAGUGUGGCUGAAGGUCACGACGAACAGCGGCCAGCGGGAAUAGAAGAAAUCACGACGAGCAACGGCCAGCGAACAGAAGAAGUCACGACGAGCAGAGCAGCGGCCAGCGGGAGACAGAAGUCAGAAGUGUUUAGAUUUAAGCUUUAGGGUUUUUUUACAAUCGAUUUAUUUGAGAUUCCGGUUCGGUUUUUCGGUUUUUUUAAAAAAAUCGAAAACCGAACCGAUUAAUUUUACUAUUUGUAUGAUAUUACUAUUUCGGUUUUUUAGAAGUAAAAAAACCGCACAAAAACCGAACCGAACCGAUCGGUUCGGUUCGAUUUUUGAUUAAUUAACUUUUUUUGCCCACCCCUAGAAGAGAGGGAGCCGCCAAAGAGGAAAAAAAAAGGCAGACGCAAGGCAGAAAAGGAGAAGAAGAAUAGUGGCAGCAGCAGUAAUUUAAUUCUCCAUGAUUGAUUUUAUUUAUUUUGUUGCUCCUUAUUUAAGUAUGUCUAACUAAUUUUCUUAUAUUAAGAUUAAUGAUGAAAUCAUAUUUAAUGAAAUAAUUAUUUUUUUAUUUAAUUAAUUUCUUAUACGUGUGCUUUAAUGUUUAUGAUUUUUGUUGAAAAUGUGAGACUCGACCGUUCAUGUGGGGGACUCAAUUUGUGGUGUUUCCGUGCAAUAAUGUUGUACGCUAUAGAUGUUAAAAUCAAUGGAGCUAUUUCAGCAGUUCAAAAUCCGAAAAUUGUCUCCUUAUUUCUGAGUGAUAAAUUGAUAACAUCUUUUAGUGUGAGAAAUUUAUAAUUUUUUACUUAGUAAUUUUAUCUCAGCGUCUUUGACUGUUUACACAUAAAUUGACAAAAUCAGCCACGAUUCUUAUGUUUCCCCUUAUAAAUGGAUAAUUUAAAUUUGUGAUAAUAUAUAUUUUAUUUAUUUUUCUUUAAAUGAUAGAAUAAUAGACAAAGUUCAAAUUAAUUCCUUAUUUCCUUUAGUUUUAGGACUCAAACUCGGAACCAACCAAAUAAUACUAUUUGAAAACCACUCAUUAGGCCGGCAACAAAUAAGUGAUAAUAAGUUUUUGGUUUAUAAACAAAAUGACGACGUUUUCUAUGCGAAAUGAAUGGUGACUAUUGCUCUAUGCCACGAGCAAUUUUUGUGAGUAUUCAGAUUCUCACAUGAAUAUAUAAUACAAUGGUUGAUUGAUAAAAGGAUGACGGGUCUUUUGUGAGCUUUGUAGAUAUAUUUUUCUUCCAAUUGUACUAUUGCAAAAAAAAAAAAAAAGGGAUCCGAAUCUUCAAUUGAUUUUUUUAAAUUGUUUUAAGGGGAAAUUAAAGCACUUACGUGGUCUUGUACAAUUUUUAUAAAUAUAUAUAGUUGUUUUAAAAAAUAGUGACAUCGUCUCUUCCUACGACAACUAUGUCUUUUAUUGUAGUGAUCGAAUUAUUUUUAUCUAGGCGUAAUUAUUCCAAAAGUAUCUAUAUAAUCAUUUUGUUAAAUGACGAAAUGUGACCAUUUUUUUCUCAUUUUUUUUCAUUUACAGUGCUGAUAUUUUCAUACCACAAUUUUUGUAAACCCACCCUACUUCAAGAAAAUAAUUAUAAUAAAUUCACAUUAUUUUUAAGAAAAUUCAAAUAAAGAAGAAGUUUGAGAAGUAAUUAAUUAAAUCUACCUUGAUUUGUUUUGUGACUUUAAUUUUUUUAUCAUAUUUGACUAAAAAGAUUGCUUUGUCAUAAUUUUAAAUUGAUUAUUUACUCUUAUAAGGUAAAAGUAGCAAAAUACCAAAAAAUUUACUUUAAGUUCAGAGUUUUUGAAUUUUAUACAAAAUUUAUAAUUUCUAAAAAAUGUAUCAAAACAAAUUUAUUAGAAUGAUUAUUAAGAUUUAGUUAAACUAACAAAAUAUUUUUAUGGCAUAAGACUCAUGUAAUUUAUUGGAUGUCAUGUUGUAAGUCACAAAACUAAAUACUUAGAUUGUUAGAUAUAGGAACAUUAUCACAUUAUCUUUGGAUAAUUUGGUCAUUUUAUGUAUCUUGGGUAAAACAUUGAAAUAAAAUUUAUCUUAAACCAACCUUAAUAGCAAAUAUGGCUAAACAAACAUAAGUGAAAAAAAUACAUAAGAAUUAAUUGAUUAAUUGCCCAAUCUCUUUGUUUAUCUCUAUUUUUUGAAAAUAAUGUGAGCUUAUUAUAACACUUCUAUCUCCCUCAAGAUUUACAUUCGGGUGACUAGCCAAAUAUAGAUGCUUGAAAACCAAAAGGCUUGGGAAAAUAAGAAAAUCUUAUAUAUUUUCACUAUCUGUUUCAACAAAUUUAUACACAUGGAAUCUGGUAAAUUUGUUUUCUUGAAAAAGUUGUUUCACUUAAACCAUUAUUUUUUAAUUUUCAUCAAUAAUCAAUAUUGUUAACCACAUAAAUUUUAAUUCCAUUAUUGUUCCCUGAAAAAAAUUUAUUUAAAUAUAAUUUUCAAUAGCUAAAUUUAUUAUUAAAAUAUUUGAAUUUUUUUUAAACCGCGAUAAAAAGAAGUCUUACCCGACCAACAAGUGCUAAAUUUUCUACACGUUGAAAAUUUGACUUGAAUGUGGGAAAACAUUAAAGAAAAUAGGGCAAAAUAAUUGCUCGGUAAAAGCGUGAUAAUGAAAUAGCAAAAUUCUUUGACAAUUUUGUUCAUGCAAUUAAAUGCCAAAUGGUGAGGUUGGGGAUCAUUGAAGAAGUUGAAUGGUCUUUGGCCAUUAUGAAUGGUCGAUCCGCAAUUCAUUCAUGAUUUGUCAAUAUUUGCUCAUGGAAAUGGCGGAUAUUUCACCGGAUAUUGGACCGCAAGCUUAAGGCGAUCCUUACACGCCAUCUGUUGAAAAAUUCAAAAUUGAAAUUCAAAUACACAUGCAUGCAUUCAGCUUUGACGAGGUAAAUUUGAAGACAAAUUCCUUGCAUGCAAAUUUCAAGCACACCAAUAUUGAGCUAGCGUGAUCCAAUUGCAUGUGCUACUUAGGGUUCAUGGAUGAUUUGACCUGAACAGGCCAAUUCCUUACCUCAAAAGGUCAACUAUCUAUCUGACCUGUCGAUUCCUGAGCCUCCCCUCCCGGUUGGCGUUUGUCAGCCACUAGAGCAAGUAAGAGAACCUACAGUGAAUGAACUUAAAGAUAAAGAACAGCCUAUCCUAGAUCUUCCCAUUUUCAAGAAGAUCCCGGGCUCGAUCCGGUUUAGUAUCAAGGUGAGGGAUCAGUGUUUUCUAAGUGAAUCGAAAGCUUUCUUUCUUUAAGAGAUUUCAAGUCUGGGUCCCCUCGAGCACCCUUCCCUUGAACCUGAACUGGUCGAGAGAGAUGAACCCGCACCACAUUUUAUAACAGAACCAACUGGUUUCACACCGGAGGAACAAUUCUUUGAGGCCACGCAACGACCCAAACAGUUUGGAAAGCGUAUAUAGAAUGCAACCCUUGUUGGAGAAAAAUCAGGUUUUUAAAUUUUUUAUAAAACCUUUUGAAGAUCGCUCUCAUAUAAUAUAUAAGAAUUUGUAAUCUAGAAAUCGUACCUUGAAAAUCCGAUUUGGCUUUUUCCGUUGAAGUGAUUUAGGCUCCUAGAUCACGAUCCGUCACCACCACUCUUGUUAGAUCACGAUCCGUCACCACCACGCUUGUUAGAACACGAACUGGCACCAAUGAUCUUCCAGGUUAUGACUCAGGUUCGAUCAGCACUUGACGUGUGGGUGCCUUUAUCACUACCAAAGCAACUAGCACGAGAAAAUUUUUCUCUCAACAAUAGAGAGAAAAAUCUUUUUCUCUAAUCUGUAUAAAGUGGCUUUUUUUCUUUUUUUUAGAGAAAAAUAAGCCUUUUAUAUCACCCUUUAGUGAAAACCCUGGGCUCCAAAUAAUCAAAAAAUAAAACUCACGUUAUUUGCUUUUUCUAUAGGGGACCCACCUUGUAAAAUAACAUAAGGCCCCUUAAACAAAAGCUAAUUAAAUGGAGCCUCCUACUAAAUGAUAAAUUUAGGCUUUUGACCCAAAUAGCUAGUUAUCUUACUUAUUAGUCCAGUAGUGGUGCAGUCAAUUAAAUAAGCUAACCCGGGGAUCAUUUGGGAACAUACAAUAGUGGCUACAAUAAUUAGACCUGUAAUUAAACUAGCCCAAUUAUUUAAUUCCAAAUCUACUCCACUAAAAGAUUGGAAUUGGCUUCCAUAAUUGUAUGCUCGAAUAAUAAUUCGUCCCAAGCCACAUUGAUUUCUUUACUGCACAAUCCUUUAUACCACUUCGUUAAUUAAAUUGAUAUCUCAACUGUCCAAUCAAUUUAAUAACAUCUUAUUCCUUGAUCCUUACUGGUUUUCUCUAAUGAUCAUUUUCAACAUACUAAAUAUGUUGACACACUCUGGCCAGAGAAUUCUAUGAUCAAGUGCCGAAAACCCAUCAAGAGAUGUGUUGUACAAAUUCUAUAUUGUUAAUCCAUAACUCCAAUACUCAUAAUUGCUCCCACCAAGAUACCGGGUAAUCUUGACCACAAGGAUGUGUCGUGCCCAUUGGUAACUCAAAUGGAAUAACAAUUACAAUCAUGAAAUCAUAAUUAACUCAAGAUUAAGAUUACAGUAAAAUCAACGCCUAUGAGAUUUAAUAAGUCUGACAGUUAUUACAAAGUUAAUUAAAUCUCAUAUGUGAUCCUAUUCAAUGUAGUCGUUCUACAUCAAUAAAUUCAUACAUGAUUAAGACAAAUCAUUCAAUGAAUUUAUUACAGUCUAUACCUAAAUAAAGUGCCCAACUUUAUUUAUCAACUGCGAACUAAAUUUAUUUAAUCAUAAGAUAACUUGUAUUUAUGUCUUCUGUGAAUCCACAUGGUGAUCACAUAAAUACAUAUAAUAUGAUUAAAUGGAUUUUAAUAAAAAUAUUAAUGCAAUUAAGAUAUUUGCAUAAAAUACCUCAUUAUUUUUAUUAAUCAGAAAAAAUGUUUAUUACAAUUAAAUAAAGACAUAUGCUUUUAAAGAGCAUAUUUUCCUAACAAUCUCCCACUAGCUCUCAAAGUAUAUCUGACAUAUUGCACAUGCUCUAGGGCUCUAAGUGCAGGUUAUAAAGGUUUCCCACUAAUGGCCAUUGUAAUAAGAUCUGUCAUUUAGCAUCUAAUGCCAUUUGGGGUACUGUCAUAUAACCUUUCUACACUAUUCCCUUAUAAGAUGAUACUUCCUGUCAGUAUGUUUUGUUUCUUGUGGUUCCUUAGAUUGAGCUACUGCACCACCACUAUCACAAAAUAGUUUAAGGGGUGUAGUUACAACAGGUACCACCUCAAGAUUUUGUAGGAACUUGUGGAGCCUAUAUAGCUUCUUUUGCAGCUUCAGAUGUAGCCACAUAUUCAGCUUCAGUUGUGGAGUCUGUGAUACAAGAUUACUUCACACUCAUCUAACUAAUAGCUCCACUUCCUAAUAUAAACACAUAGCUGGAAGUUGAUUUUCUAAAAUCCUUAUCUGACAAAAAAUCAGAAUUAGUAUAACCCACUAGAAUAAGUUCAUCACCAGAAUACACAAGCAUAUAAUUUUUAGUUCUUUUCAGAUACUUUAUAAUAUGCUUGACUGCAGUCCAGUAUUGAGGUCCAGGAUUAAAUUGAUAUCUGCUAACCAUCCCUACCGCAAAACAGAUGUCUGGCCUAGUGCAAAGCAUGGCAUACAUGAGACUUCCCACAGCUUCUGCACAGGGAACUCGUCUCAUUCUCUCUAUCUCUUCAGAUGUUUUAGGUGAUUGAUCCUUAGAGAAUGUAAUUCCAUGUCUGAAUGGUAAUAAACCACUCUUGGAAUUUUUCCAUGCUAAAUCUAGCCAAUAUCUUAUCGAUAUAGACCGCUUGAGACAAGGCUAAAGUUUUAUUCUUCCGGUCUCGUAGUAACUUGAUACCAAGAAUAUAACUUGUCUCUCCCAAGUCUUUCAUAUCAAAUUGUUUUGCUAACCAAAUCUUUAUUGUAGUCAAUACUCCUAUAUCGUUUCCAAUCAGGAGAAUAUUGUCUACACAAAGAACUAGGAAGGCUACAAAUUUUCCCUGAAUUUUCUUGUACACACAUGGUUCAUCAAUGUUCUGAAUGAAUCCAAGCGAUUUAAUUGCUUGAUCAAAUCUGAUGUUCCAUGACCAGGAUGCUUGCUUCAAUCCAUAAAUGGAUCUCUGCAACUUACAUACCAUGUGUUCUUAGCCUUUUUGUAUAAAUCCAUCUGGUUGCUGCAUGUAGAUGUUUUCUUCAAGAUGCCCGUUAAGAAAGGCAAUCUUGACAUCUAUUUGCCAAAUUUCAUAAUCUAGCACUGCGGCAAUGGAGAGCAGAAUCCUGAUGGAUUUAAGCAUAGCAACCGGAGAAAAGGUUUCCUCAUAAUCGAUUCCUUCUUUCUGAGUAAACCCUUUGGCUACUAAUCUUGCUUUAAAUGUUUCCACCCUUCCUUCUACUCCUCUUUUUCUCUUGUAGAUCCACUUGCACCCUAUAGGUUUUACCCCAUUUGGUGCCUCUACAAGUUCCCAGACUUUAUUGGAAUACAUAGAUUCCAUUUCUUGAUUCAUGGCCUUUUUCAAAAUUCAACAUCUCUAUCUAUUAGAGCUUCGUUGUAACUAGUGGGAUCUUGUACAUGUUCAUCUGAAAUAGCCAUAUAGGUUUCUCACAAAAGCAUGUAUCUCGCAGGUAACCUAGUUACCCUCCCACUACGACGAGGUUCUAAAAGUGAUGGUUGUUCAAGGAUAAUCAUGUGCUGAUCAACUUGUUGUUGCUGUUCUUUAUGUUCUAUAACAGGUGUUGAAAGCUGAGCAUCAACCUGAUCUCUUUUAUUUCUCUAGUUUUACCUUACUCUUAGGUUAUAAGUCAUUAUAUAGUCUUCCUCAAAGAAAGUAAAGAAUAUUUCUAUAAAUACAUUCCUAUCUUGAGGACUACAAUUCAGACUUUCCCUAUUCCUUUAAGAUACCUAAAACAUGCAAGCUUCUGAACACGAAUCCAUCUUCUCUAUCUCUGAUUCUAGUAGAAAUACUAGUAAACUCCAAAUACGAAUGUGUCUCAAGCCAUGUUUGUGACUUUUUCAUAAUAGCUUGGAGUAGUAGACACCGAGAUAGAUGAAACUAAGUUCAAUAAACUUUGUAGUUUCAAAUACUAGUAUCUGGAAUCAAAAAGGUAAAUGAUAAAUCACUUAGUAUAUAUCUUGUCUUAUCCAAAAGAAUCUUGUUUCUCUAUUUAAUUACACUAUUGUAUCAUAGUGUUCAUUGACAACCAAAUAGUGCUUGAAUUCUCCAUAGAGAUAUUCUUUGUUUCGAUCAUAUCGAAGUUCUUUUAUGUUCCUGUCUAAUUGCUUCUGUCUUAUCCAUGUACUCUUUUGAAUUUCAAAAGCAAUGGAAUCAUGACGCAUUUAGACAAACAUAAAUAAAAUGAAUAUUCAUCAACAAGAUUGAUAGAAUACUCAUAACCUCUUAUAACAUGUAUACUGAUUAGUUCGUAUACAUUUGUAUGCGCUAAAUCAUCAAAUACAAUGUUAUGCUUUUAGCUCAAAAAGAGCAUCCUUGUCAUAUUACUUUUCUAAAUAAGAUUUAUAGAGUUACAAUGAUCAAUCUUAAUAGGCUAGCAAGUCUAUCAUUAAUCAUUUUCUUAAAAUCUUAUUAUAGUUUAUAUGACUUAAGCAUAAAUAUCAGAGGUGAUUUUUGGUUAGAAGAAACAUUUCUUUUCUUAGAUAAAUGCAUAUACUUUUUAUCAUUAUAUCUUAAUUUGAAUAGAUCAAUGUACUUCUAUGAUAUAAAUUGUCUUUAUAAAUAACCAAAAUAAGUAAUAAAUAGAGGAUCCAAAAAUAACAGUGUACUUCUGUUUAUUAAAACAAGCCACCGAAAUUAAAUUCCUCUAAUAUUUGGAAAAAUAAAGACAAAUAUCAAAACUAAAGUCUUGUAAAAUUGAUCUAGUCUUUCAAUUGAUAUAAACUAGCAUGUCCUCAACUGCUGUUUGAAGCUUUCUUCACUUAAUCUUUUGGUUUCCUGAAAACCAAAUAAAUUAAUUAUAAAUAAGAUUAGUUAUCUCAGAAUUCAUUAUUGUAUGAAUCAAUAGAAAUCUGAACUAAUUAGGAAGCUUAAAAAUUUCAUAUACCUGAUUUUAAUAAUCUUAGGACAAUCUUUCUUCCAGUGACCCUUCUGUCCACAUUUGUAACACUUGCCUUUUGGCUUGCCACUUCUUUUAGUGGACAGUUUGUCGAUCCCAACUCUUGCUUGCUCAUUCUUGUCUUUCGACUUAAGCCUUGAAGAGAAUCCUUUUUCAGGAAGUUUUCUGCUAUGAUAAAAUUCUUCUAUAGCAUGUAGUUCGUGCAUUAAUUCAAUUAAGGUCAUAUCUUUAUUGUUUAAGAUAUAGCUGACCUUAAACUCUUUAAAUGUAUCAGGUAAAGAUUCAAUCACAAUGUUAAUCUUUGAUUUAUCAUUGAUUUGAACACCAUGAAUCUCUACCUCAUUCAAAUAGUCCAUCAUUUUGAGGACAUGAUCACGAACUUUUGUGCCCUCUUCCAUCUUAGUAUCCGUAAUACGUUUUAAUGCUGCUUCUCUAGCAAAAUGAGUAUUUUGCCCAAACAUCUUAUGAAGACAAGCCAUUAUUUCAGUGGUUGUUUCCAUGCUCCGAUGUUUCUUAUGCAGUUCCACAGAAAUCGAAGCCAAUAUAUAGCGUUUAGUCAUUUUGUUAGCUUCGUACCAUUUCUCAUAAGGCUCCCUCUGAUUUCUAUAAUCGUAUAAGGAUGGUUCAGGAGGGCAAGGCUGGGUCAACACAUAUUUGCAGCCCUUAGCAGUGAGAAUAUUAAAUAGAUUGCGUUUCCAAUCUAAAUAAUUUUCGCCAGUGAGUUCAUUUUUAACAAGGAUAAUUAAUAAUGGGUUGAUGGAAGACAUUUUCUGAAAAAACAAAAUAGACAUGCAUAAAUACUUUGAAACAAUAUUCACAAUAAAUGACAAAAAUGCAAAAAAUCAUAAAUGCAUUUUAAUUUAUUGUAACGAUAAUCUAGUACCGCUUUGACAAGCUAUCCGUUGGGGAAGUCAUGUCUACACUUACUAGACCCAAUUAUCCAUUAGAUUAUUUACUUUCAUGUAGAGACAUGAUAAAUAAUUAUCGUUAUCCUUUUUGGGCCUAAAUUUGUUAACAGAGCUUCGUUGGGAAGGUUAAUAACAAAUUUUAGUUGAGUGUAUAACCAUUGUUUCAAUCUACAUAUUUUUUAUAUCAAUAGUCACCGUUGGGGCGAACAAUCGAUUAAAAAAUAUUUCAAUUUUAUCUUUGAAGAAGUUCAUCAAAUAAAAUAUCUAAUAUAUAUACCCUCCGUAGGGAGCAUCACCGUAUCAUGAAGUCGAGGUAUAUAUAUAAUUUUAUUAUUGAACUAACAAUGGAGCCCAUGGGAAAAAUUAUCUUGAAUUUUCCCUCUCCCACUGAAUAUUUUAAAAUUGAUUUUUCCUUUUUAAAAUAUACAUAUUGUUAAUUGCAUGCUUCCUAUAAUAUUAUCUAGAUGAUAUCCAAUAUUAUUAAGCAUAGGCAAAUUUCAAACAAUAUAAUGAAAUUCAUAAUUAAUGAAUGACAUGUAUCAUUAUACAUAGAGUGGCACUACCUAUUCUAUAUGACAUGUUAUCAUGGCAUGUUAUCAUCCAAAACAUAACAUAUAGAAAAAUAAUUAAUUAAUCUUAAUUCAUGGCUUUCCUAAUAAUGAAAAAUACAUUAACCCUAAGCCUCAUCUUCAUUGGGCUUCUUGUCAAUGUCCAUCUUCCAUAAGCUUGUCUUUGUUAAUGGACUAGGGGAAAUUGAGCUUUUAAAUUUAUAAUUGGUCCAAUUUUAAUUUUUGAAAGGAAAUAAAUAAAUGAUUAAAAUUUAUUAUUAAAAUAAAAAUUUUGGACCAAAAAUAAAUUUAAUACAUUCAAUUUUAUCUAUGCAUUUUAAUCUAUUAAGCCCAAUUGAAUUGAGCCUAAAACUAGGAUUCAUCAAACCCAAAACUAUUUUUGGACUUAAACGCAAAAAAUUAAAAAUUUUCUGCCCAAAUGAAACAUUAUGGAACCAUAGGGACCUCCAUGAUAAAAACCAUGAAACCCUAAAUUCAUAUUUUUCUUUCUUUCUUCUUCCCUAGCCGCCAUAUCCACAAACGGCCACUGUUCAGGCCAAUCUCACCGGACAGCCGUUAUCAACGUCGAGUUUGCCGUCGUCGAUACGCUGGAAGCAAAACAACCCUGCACACGCUGCUGCUGGCCAGGCUGGCCGCGCAUGCUGCUGGCACGUGUGCUGCUUGCUGCGCGCACUGCCAGCAUGCGCUUGCAGCGUGUGCCGCUCGUUGGCUGUAGCGAGUGCACUGGUCGGUGGUCGAUGUCGAAAUUUCCGGCCUCCGUCGCUUUGAUCUGUCAUCCGUGAUUGAUUUACAAAUUUCCUAGGCCAAUUUUGGCUUACAAAAUUCUAUAACAGUAAAUUAAAUCAAGAGGGAAACAUGGUGAUUAAAAAACCACCCCUCUUAUUACAGAUCCAAACGAAAAAUACAGUAGAAAAUCUAACCAUGAAUUAAGACAAACCAAAACAUGCUUUAUUCAUAUAUUAAACAAAUAAUAUAUAUCUGAAUAAAUUAUGCCACUCUAAUACAUAAAUUUCAAGAAUGAUUUCAUACGAAAUUCUUAUAUAUUAAUAUGAGGAGGCUCUGAUACCAAUUGUUGGAGAAAAAUCAGGUUUUUAAAUUUUUUAUAAAACCUUUUGAAGAUCGCUCUCAUAUAAUAUAUAAGAAUUUGUAAUCUAGAAAUCGUACCUUGAAAAUCUGAUUUGGCUUUUUCCGUUGAAGUGAUUUAGGCUCCUAGAUCAUGAUCCGUCACCACCACUCCUGUUAGAUCACGAUCCGUCACCACCACGCUUGUUAGAACACGAACUGGCACCAAUGAUCUUUCAGGUUAUGACUCAGGUUCGAUCUGCACUUGACGUGUGGGCGCCUUUAUCACUACCAAAGCAACUAGCACGAGAAAAUUUUUCUCUCAACAAUAGAGAGAAAAAUCUUUUUCUCUUAUCUGUAUAAAGUGGCUUUUUUUCUUUUCUUUAGAGAAAAAUAAGCCUUUUAUAUCACCCUUUAGUGAAAACCCUAGGCUCCAAAUAAUCAAAAAACAAAACUCACGUUAUUUGCUUUUUCUAUAGGGGACCCACCUUGUAAAAUAACAUAAGGCCCCUUACACAAAAGCUAAUUAAAUGGAGCCUCCCACUAAAUGAUAAAUUUAGGCUUUUGACCCAAAUAGCUAGUUAUCUUACUUAUUAGUCCAGUAGUGGUGCAGUCAAUUAAAUAAGCUAACCCGGGGAUCAUUUGGGAACAUACAAUAGUGGCUACAAUAAUUAGACCUGUAAUUAAACUAGCCCAAUUAUUUAAUUCCAAAUCUACUCCACUAAAAGAUUGGAACUGACUUCCAUAAUUGUAUGCUCGAAUAAUAAUUCGUCCCAAGCCACAUUGAUUUCUUUACUGCACAAUCCUUUAUACCACUUCGUUAAUCAAAUUGAUAUCUCAACUGUCCAAUCAAUUUAAUAACAUCUUAUUCCUUGAUCCUUACUGGUUUUCUCUAAUGAUCAUUUUCAACAUACUAAAUAUGUUGACACACUCUGGCCAGAGAAUUCUAUCAUCAAGUGCCGAAAACCCAUCAAGAGAUAUGUUGUACAAAUUCUAUAUUAUUAAUCAAUAACUCCAAUACUCAUAAUUGCUCCCACCAAGAUACCGGGUAAUCUUGACCACAAGGAUGUGUCGUGCCCAUUGGUAACUCAAAUGAAAUAACAAUUACAAUCAUGAAAUCAUAAUUAACUCAAGAUUAAGAUUACAGUAAAAUCAACGCCUAUGAGAUUUAAUAAGUCUGACAGUUAUUACAAAGUUAAUUAAAUCUCAUAUGUGAUCCUAUUCAAUGUAGUCGUACUACAUCAAUAAAUUCAUACAUGAUUAAGAUAAAUCAUUCAAUGAAUUUAUUACAGUCUAUACCUAAAUAAAGUGCCCAACUUUAUUUAUCAACUGCGAACUAAAUUUAUUUAAUCAUAAGAUAACUUGUAUUUAUGUCUUCUGUGAAUCCACAUGGUGAUCACAUAAAUACAUAUAAUAUGAUUAAAUGGACUUUAAUAAAAAUAUUAAUGCAAUUAAGAUAUUUGCAUAAAAUACCUCAUUAUUUUAUUAAUCAGAAAAAAUGUUUAUUACAAUUAAAUAAACACAUAUGCUUUUAAAGAGCAUAUUUUCCCAACAACCCUUAUGGACUGAAUCUUUAUUACACCCUUGGCGAGGAACCAAGAGUCAUUUACUACAUGCUUAUUAGGCACUGCCGCAGCAUCCACUGGUACAAGGAAGAGGCACGAUAGCGAAGAUCAAUCCAUCUCAAUCUGCAAAAACGAAAAACAUUGCCUUAGGCAUGCAACCCCAAAAAAAGGAUAGAAAGACUGCUCUAAAUUGAUUCUUUUAUGCUGAUAAACUCCAAUUGCAUUAUAGGAAUUACAAAAAAGGGGUUCUUUCGUAUACUUAGGUGAUGUUUGGUUGGGGGGCGAGAAUGGAGGAGAGAAAAGUAAUUUAAAUUUUAUUUUUAUUUUCAUUGUUUGGUUGCACAAAAUAUAUAAGAAUUUAAUUUCUAUUAAAAUUUAAUAUCCCUUAUAAUGUAGACUUUAAAUUCCACACCAAAAAGUGAAGAAUUUAAAUUCCUCUUAUGUUGAAAACACAAGUUUUCAAAAUUGCCCUUCAACAUUUCAACUUGUUUAAUGUUAUUAAUAAUAAUAAUUAUUUAUAAUUUUAUUUUAUCAAUUUAAUAUUAUAAAUAAUUUUAUAUUAAUCAAAUUCAAUGAAUGAUUUAAAAAAAUUAAUAAAAUAAAUAAACUUAUUUAUUUAUUUAAUAUGAAAAUAUAUAAAUAUAAUUAACUAUCGCCGUGCCUUCACCGGAUUUCUGCCGGAACUUCGCCGGACCAUCGCCGGAUUUUUGCCGGACCACCGCUGACACACCAAAUCUCCGCCGGAACUCGCCGGACUUCCGUUGGAAAAUAGCUGGUCGACGUUGACCGGCGCUGACUUAUGUUGACCUACGUUGACUUAUAUUGACUGGCUUUUAUUUAUAUUAAAUUAUAUUAAAUAGUUUAAGAUAUUAAAUUAUUUUAUAUUUUAUAUUAAAUAUAAAUCAUGAAUUGUUUUAGAACUGUUUGAAAUUAAAAAAGUUUGGUAUUAAUAUUAAAUUAUAUUUUAUUAUUAAUAUAGAUAAUUUAAUAUUUAAGGCAAAGGAUAAAUUUGUCCAAAAAAAAUUAAAAUUCCUUUCCCUAUUAAAUUUUAUGUCAAACCCAAUAAUGAAAUUUAAUUUCACUAUUCUCUUUCACUCCUCUCUUCUCCUUUCCCCUCCAUUCCACUCUUUUCCUCUCCUCCCCUUUCUUAAAACCAAACACCACCUUAUAGCUAUUAUCGUCGCAAGCAUAGCGGAACCCAAGCUCAUGCUCACGAUAGCACAACGUGGCCUACGGUGGUACCACGAUGUCCCUAGAGUCAUAGACAAGCUUCGCAUAUAGACAACCCGUACAGUAUAGCGGAUGCACGUUUAAGCCUCACGAUUCCGUAACACAGCUAGGCUUAAGGCCAACUACUGGCUAUACUGACUACUUAUUAUUGUUCUAGAGCGGGGAAAGUCUUCAAGAAUGCUGCUACCGAAUGAAGUUCAUCUUUCCCCUCUUUCCCUAUAAUAAAGUGCAGGCCCCCGUAGAUAGAUAUCCCAUAUAGCCCCUCCUCACGUCGACUUUUUGCCGUUGAAUCCCGAAGAAAGAAUAAAAUAGACAAAAUUCCUAACAAAAAGAUAGUGAUGGUUCCUCUUUGAGGGCCCGAAGGGCAACGUACCUAAUAGAUAAAGGAUUUUUCAAACGGGAACUCAUCUUGUACCGCAACUUAAACAAUCAUUGUCGGAAGGGCCGGAAACUUGCGUUUUCUUAUGAUAAAUUGUACCAUGAUGAUCUUCUAUUUAUAUUCUCUAGUUUAUCUUUCUUCAAGUGAGAUAGUUGAGCCCGCCCCAAGCGGAACCGCAUGAGUUCACCGGGGUUGAGCACGGUCCGCCAAAAUCGGCAUAGGUUAGGUGCUAUUGAUGGAACAUGGUAAGCCUAUCUUUGUUCUCUAUAUGGAAGUGUUGCGGGAUUAAAGGAGUUGGAAGAUGAGCAAGAGUAUUCUCAAUCGACACUCCUAAAAAAGAUAAUAGGUUCUAUGAUAAGGAAUAGGAACAACAAAAGCAAGUCUUUUGAGUAUAAUCCUGGUAUCUUUCUACAAUCGUCUUUGUGGCGUAGGCCGAUCAAUCCCCGAAAUAAGAUCACUUAAAGGAAAUGAGUGGAAAUAAGACAGGUCUAUAUUCCUAUAGAAAGAAAAGCCCUUUCCCUCCCUGCACGAGUGAGUUGCCAAGUGCCUCCCAAGAGGGCAGUCUACCACAAGAUCUUACUUAUGAAUGUCAAGGAAGAAAAAGAAAGACAGGUAGGUUUGUAAACUAAAGCCAGAAGCCCGGGAAGAGGUGUUCUCCAUUAGUACAAGUAAGCGGCUGAGUUAGCAAAGCCUACCCUACUAAUGUAUUGUAUAGUAGCGCCUUUUCCUUUUUGAAUAUAACUAAGGCUAGCUCACUGGUAGUAGAAGGAAGCAGAGAUUCAGGCAGUUAGGCAUCAGUUUGAGUUCGAGAUCGAGACCCCAUAGAUAAGGUAGGUGUUAAUAGAUCAGUUCGGUCUCUGAGGCCACCGAGUAAUCAUAGGUAAGUAGCAGCUAUCUCCGACCGAGCAAGUGUAGAGGAAGAAAAGACAUAAUUAAAAAAAUUGUGUAAAAUAAAUGAAUUUAUCCAGUUAAGGCAUGCUUGAUUGCGCAUUCCUUUACGCAUUCCGCUGACCUUUCCAUUACCAUGGGAAAGCCUCACUCUCGGUGAAAUGGAUAACAAACUGAAUAAGCGAUCAUCGUCCGGUGGUCGGUAGCUCUACUAAGCGAAUAACCGCUCGCUGCUUUUUCUUCGCGAAUAACAUGUGCGGGUAGCCUAGGAAAAGAGAAGCAAGCUACCUUCGCCUACCUCCCCGCCGCUCAUGACAAGCAAGCAGCAUACUAGGUUUCAUUAUUAUAUAGGACUUCUUUUGUGCUACCACGCCUCUCUUGACCUCUGCUUGCAUCUCGAGAAAGUAUAAGGGUCACCGAAAGUGAGGGAAGAGAUAUCCAAUUUGAUAUCUUAUGAUAUAUUGAGGAUGCUGCAAUAGUUUGGUUUCACCUCUAGAUGGUGUGAGUGAAUCAGGGCUUCCAAAACCUUUCUUUUUUCGGUAUGCCGCUCCGCGAGUAAGGAGUGCCACGCACGAGCGGAGCGAAAACAAAGCCGGUCAAAGAUUCCAUUGGAAAGGUAGAUGACAUUUCUGCUAUUUCGGUAAUGCUUGAGCAGGGGCAGCCCAGUCUUAGUCUAACUAAGUAUUCUAUCCAUACUAUGACACUGCGCAAAAGAACCAGGCAUAGUGUGAAACAUGAUAAUACAAAUAGGGGCGUGCCACAUUCUUGGUUUAAGUAUACUAGAACAUAUUCCAUUUUGUUGACGGUGAAUGCCUGUCGAGCCACAGGCGGAAAAAUAAUAAAAAAGUUUCUAAAAAUAAAAAUACUAAAAAAUAAUUGAUAAGGGGGGUUGAGCAUCCUUUGUAGAGCACUUUGCUGGCGCUACACUAUCACGUUACAACUAGCAUCCCCUUUUUGCUAUUUCUAUCUAUUAUUAGUUGGGGCUUUUCCCAAACUAAUAGCAAGAGAGGGAGUGAAAGAGGCUGGAAAGUACGAAGCAGGUUCUAUGCAAUUGACUCGACUGAAAGGAAGAUUUUUUACUUAGGCCCAGGAGAGGAGGGCUCUUUGGGACUGGGGGAGACGAGUGGAUUAUAGAGCUAGGAGUGGAUCGAGGGUUUGUCCAUUGGGAUUGGUUUGAUAUGGUUUGCGUGUUACUGGUUGCCGGAAGAGUUAAUAUCUCCAUUAACUAAACCCUUUCUUACCCUAUGAUAGAUUCAUGAAAUGAGCAAGCAUCUGAUAUAUUUUACACCUUUUCAUAACGCCUAUGUGACUUGCCAAAGCUGUCGCUCCGUAUUUCUUGCUUAAAGCACCGCAACUUAUACGCUUUAAAGCUGCGCUUUAAACUUAACGGCAUUUGAGCAUCCAUUUUCUUACUCUUUGUCGUAGAGGCUCUCUAACCGGAGAGAGGCUUGCUAUCGUAACCUUUACAAGCCAUGAUCUAAAAGUGAUUGCCCCCCAGGCGAGAAAGACUAAUCUUAGAAUUCCGCUUGAAAACGAGUCCUGUCCUUGCUUUUCUAAAAAGUUACUAUCCCCAACAGGAUUGGAACUCUAGUUGUUCAAGUUCCGUUCACCUCCUUUAACUUUCAAUUAGUGAAAUUCUAUUUAUUUCUUUCUUAGGGAAUUGUGGUCGACCCCGACUAGAUGACCUGGGCCUGAAGAAUGACAAGCUUUCGCAAUGAAAUCUUUCUCCAGAUAAUGCCUUGGUUACAUAAAUAAUCUACUCCGAUACACCUACCCGUGGUAUAGGUGUGUUCAAACACACCACGCUAUUUUUUUCCUUUUGAGAGGGUACUCCGAGUAGUGGGUACCUCGUAGGACCUCAACCCGCCUACUUGGGUCUUGUAUGGAUAUGCAGGAAGAUCUUUAGCUAACCCAUACCUUAUCUAAAUACCCAGGUUCCGUGAUAUCAUAUCCCAAUUCUGAUUCUUUUGCCAUCACCUUCUAUUACUUCCUUGGUCGAGCAUCUAUCAACACCUGACGAUGAGGAGAGUGAUCAAUUCACCAUGUACCUGAUUCAAUACAACUAUCUAGCCCUAUUAUCGAAGCACUUCUUUAUAUACGUCGCCAUUUGACGAUCUGUCUUUAGUAGGUCGUCUAUUCUUUCUUACCGAGAAUCGAGCGCGAGGCUUGAAGACCCUACCGCAUUCCGGCCCCGGGGCCCUCAAUUGGUUCUUUCUCUCUUCUCUUUUACCAACGAGUGGUGAGUUACAUAUGUACCUUUAGUAGUCUGUUAUCUCAUACGCUACCCUAACUACCAUAUGUACUUUUCUUUUGCUAUCUAAUCAACCCAUUGAUUCAGUCUUGGAAGGUGGUGCGUACCAAUGGCGUUUGUUAAGUCUUUGAUGAAGUGGGUUUCUUGCCUGACGAAGCCCUUCAAACUAUACUUGCACCUUAGUAGCCAUUAAUAG